rnacentral:lncRNA from 1 species
CAAAGUUUUUGUUUCCAUUAUUAGAUAUUAGAGAAUUUCAAAAUCCAAACAGAUCCACAACUAUAAUAAAAUCAUUUAUUUACAACUACAACAGAAUAGUAUACAAAGUCAACAGAUCUUAACCAACGAAAUAGGAUUUAUGGCUACACGAACCAACUGUUGAUAGUUCUAAGAAGAAGUCAAUGGAAACUACGGUAGGUAAUUUAUUAAAACCAUUAAAUUCGGAAUAUGGUAAAGUCGCGCCAGGAUUGGGGACUACCCCUUUUAUGGGAGUUACGAUGGUUCUAUUUACAAUAUUUUUAUCUAUUAUUUUAGAAAUUUAUAAUUCUUCUGUUUUAUUGGAUGGAAUUUUAACGAAUUAGGUUUAUAAGAGUUAUGAAGUUGUAUUAAAAAAAAGAUUAUAAUUUACUAGACCGUUUUGGUAGUUCGACUGUGGAAUUUUUUUUUCCGGUAUUUCAGGAAUAUGAGUGUGUGACUUGUUAAAAUUGAUCCUAUUUGAUAAAAAUAUGUCUGUCAUCUUGAGAGAUGAUUCUACCUCGUCAGAUAUUUCUAUUUAUGCUAGUGCUAAUAUCUGGAACACGAAAGGGGAUAUAUAGAAUAGAUCAAGAAAAGAAAUAUCUGAACUAUGAUUCAUACCUACUAUUCCUCGUAACCGGAUUCAAAAAAGGGGUAAAAGGCUUUUAUUAAAUCAAACUUCUUUUCCUUCCAAAAAAGGACAACUUUUUUCUGGGUUUUGUUAAGUUUUUUUACUUAUCCUAGUCUCUAAAUAAGUGAUGAUCAAAUCGUUCUUACUCAUAGAACCUUUAAGCCUUUUUUCUGUACCAAAUCAUUGUGGCUAUAGUAUGAAUAUGAAGUUUGAAUCAAUUCAUAAGGUCUCAACAAGAUAAUUCCUAUCAAUAGUAAAACAAGACUUAAUUUGAUUGGUUCUCAGAUGGGGAUACUUUUAUUUUACCAUUCUCGAUAUAGUAUAUGAUUGGUUCGAAGAAUGUCUAGAGAUUCAGGCGAUUGCAAAUGAUAUAACUAGUAAAUAUGUUCCUCCUUAUGUCAACAUAUUUUAUUGUUUAGGGGGAAUCACAUUAACUUGUUUUUUAGUACAAGUAGCUACGGGUUUUGCUAUGACUUUUUACUAUCGUCCAACCGUUACAGAAGCAUUUUUCUCUGUUCAAUACAUAAUGACUGAGGUAAACUUUGGUUGGUUAAUACGAGCCGUUCAUCGAUGGUCAGCAAGUAUGAUGGUCAGUUCUAAUGAUGAUCUUGCACGUAUUUCGUGUGUAUCUCAUCUCACAGGUGGAUUUAAAAAUCCCCGGGAAUUAACUUGGGUUACUGGUGUAGUUCUGGGUGUAUUGACUGCAUCUUUUGGUGUAACUGGUUAUUCCUUACCUUGGGACCAAAUUGGUUAUUGGGCAGUAAAAAUCGUAACAGGCGUGCCUGAUGCUAUUCCUGUAAUAAGAUCACCCUUGGUAGAAUUAUUACGUGAACUCUGCAAUGGAGCUACCAACUAAAUUAAUUUCUGAGUCAAUAUCCUUAGUUUCUAUUAACUCGGGCUCUUUUUUUUUCCUAUCAGUAUUGACGUUUUAUCACAUUGCUUUUUAUGAGAUUGUUCAUAAACCAUACAUAUUGGAAUUCGAUUAUAUCAUUAUUAUUUUUCUCUCUCUUUCUUAUUGAAGUAUUAAGGAUUAAUAUUAUCUAAACUAAGUUAUGCUAAGUAGAUAGAUUGGCCCACACUCAAGGCCAAUAGAAUAGUUAGUAUAAAUAGUAUUGUUGUAAUUAUUUUAUUCACUUUUGAUAAAUCUUAAUACAAAGCAAAAUCCUAGGAUUUUUCAAACGUCUCAUCUCCCCUCCGCGACUCCUCACUAUCCUCCCCGGUCUCCCAACACUGCUCCGACUCACACGUCACCGGACUCACUACUUUCUUCAUGGUAUCAGAAUCCUCGUGAAGUGCUGCGUCGACGGUUGCUCUAGGAACUCCCAAAUCAAAACUUCAUCCGCACAGUCGCUGUUCAAAGCAAAGCUCCUCAAACCGCGUUUGAUUUCAAAUUAUGGCUGAAAAGGGACCAAGAGGAGGUCCACUCUUUGAUCCCACAUCCCCCUACUUCAUCAAAUCAUCUGACUCUGGCCCUUUAUCAGUUAUCAAUGUAUUACAAGGCAGUCAAAAUUACUAUCCUUGGAGUAGGGAGAUGACCACUAUCUUACUGACAAGGAGGAAAUUGGGUUUUAUUCUGGGAACAAUCAAAAGGUCUGCUGUUGAAGAUGCAGAAGAACUUGAGGCUUGGACCACCUAUCAUGGAGUGGUCAGGCAAUGGAUCUGAAGCUCAGUCUCCAAAGAUAUAGCCUCACAGAUCAUGUACACUGAUGAUGUCUCAGUGGUCUGGAAUGAUCUUAAAGAUCAGUUCAGACAAUCAAAUGAGACUCACAUUUAUCAACUAUCUCAAGAUGUUUCCAUGAUAUAACAAGGCAAUGACUUUGUCUCAAAGUUCUGCUCAAAUCUGAAAUCCAUUUGGAGAGAAGUUGAUGCAUAUGGUGAGACACCUCAGUGUAGUUGUGGAAAGUGUGCCUGCAACAUGAGUGGCAGGGUUACUGACAGGGAGGACAGACUUAACAUCAAGAAGUUCCUCAUGGGAUUAAGAGAUGACUUCAGACAAGUCAGAUCUUACAUUCUCUCAAUGAAAAAAUUGCCAAAUUUUGGUAAGGUCUAUUCCAUGGUAAUUCAUGAGGAAUCACGUACAACAACUUUCUGAACACAACAACAGUCACGAAGCCUCUGCUUUCUACUCAGCUAGAAAUCAAAGUUCAAAUAGACACUUCAACGACGACGACAACAAUGCUUCAUCAUCACAAGCACCAUAACCAUCUUAUGCUCCAGCACCCCCAAAUACAAAGAAGAGACCUCCCAUUCCAACUGAGCCUCUUUACUACAAAAGUGGCAAACAAGUCAACACCAGCUAUUAUUGCUUCCACUGUGCAGCCUUUGGGCACAGUGAUGAAAAAUGUUUUGUCCAACAUUGGCACCCUUCAUCCAAGGGCACCUCAUUCACAAGGAAAGCCAACCCUACAGUGACUUCAACUGCUGAAACAAACAAACCACAGGGCUCAGCCAACUGUGUAUCUACUGAAGAAGAUUGGUCUGCCUAAUCUGCAUGGGACAAGAGUAAGAAGAAGACCGAGGACUCUGAAAAUCCAAUUGGCCCUCAUGAGUUCCCCCUAUACUCAGAGAAAUACAAUCCCAAGCCUCUUCCCAAAUACACAGGCUCAGGUACUGCAAAUUCAAUUCUUAAUGACAACCAUCUAAAACAAUAUUGGAUCAUUGACUCAGGUGCAUCUGAUGUGGUUGAAUUCCUAAAGGACAAAGGAAUUAUCCACUACUCUAGUUGCCCACACAAACCACAACAGAAUGGUGUGGUUGAAAGGAAACACCAACAUUUUUUGAAUGUUGCUAGAGCACUAAAAAUACAGUCCUCAUUACCCAUUGAGUUAUAGGGUUAUUCCAUACUUCACUCUACAUUCAUCAUAAACAAAUUACCCUCCAAGGUAACACAAAAUCUCUCACCCUAUGAGCUGAUACACUCAAAAGAGCCAAAAUUCCAGAGCCUUAAGACAUUUGGAUGCCUAAGUUAUGUGACAUGCCUCACAAAAGAGGACAAAUUCUCUCACAGAUCAAGAAAAUGCAUUUACUCGGGUCAAUCUCCAACCCAAAAGGGUCACAUUACAUAUGAUCUAGACAACCAUAACAUCUCUGUUAGCAGAGAUGUGAUAUUUUAUGAAAAAAUAUUUCCUCUUAAGGAGGAAGGAAAUUCAGAUGAACCAAGCCCUAAAAAACACAUAAACCAAGAGGAGAGUGACGCACCAUCCUCUGAAACAGAUGAUGAGAGUACUCUUGAAACACCCACUGAGACUGUGAAAAUUCAAGAACAAAUCAAUGACCAAUCAGUAGAGGUAGAUAAUCCCUCAUCAGAAUCCAACACAAAUCCUAGGAGAUAUCCUAGGAGACAGACUAGACCACCAACAAAGUUAGAUGACUACUACUAUUCCUUUGCAACCAGUGAAGGAAAAUCAAGAGGGACAUCAUUCCUAAUGCAUGACUAUCUAGCCUACAAGAGGCUAUCCACCUCCUACACUAAUUACCUAGAUAAAAUAUCCAUAACCACUGAACCAUCCUCAUUCCAACAAGCAAGCCAAAGCCCUGAAUGGGUAAAAGCUAUGAAUGAAGAAUUUUCUGCCCUAAAACUAAAUGACACAUGAGAAAUGGUACCCAAACCAAAAGGCAGAAAGAUAGUAGGAUCUAGAUGGGUAUAUAAGGUCAAAUACAAAUCAAAUGGGGACAUUGAAAGACUUAAGGCUAGAUUGGUGGCCAAGGGCCAUACUUAAGUAGAGAUUUUGACUACAGAGAAACUUUCUCCCCAGUAGCCAAGAUAAUAUCAGUAAGAACCCUACUUGCAGUAGCAUCCAUUAAGAAUUGGUCAACAUACCAAAUGGAUGUCAGCAAUGCAUUCUUGCAUGGUGACCUAUCAGAAGAAAUCUAUAUGUCACCACCCCCUGGUAUGUUAUCACCAAAUGACUCUAGAGUUUGUAAAUUUAAAAAAUCUUUAUAUGGUCUAAAGCAAGCCAACAGAAAUUGGUAUAAGACACUACAAGAAAUACGACCUUGUAUGACGGUUUUUAAAUGUCGGAUUUCCGCUAUCUAAAGACCGCGCCAUGGUAAUGACCGCCAUUAUAACCCCAUAACCGUCAUCUAUUAUUUAUCACUAUUUCCCACCAAAAAUAGUAUAGAUGACGGAUUUCAGCCAUCUAAUCUGAAAAUUUUCGCCAUGUAACUGAAAAUUAUAAGAUGGCGGACAUCCGCCAUGUAAAAUAUGGUGCAAAAAAAGUUGGCGCCAAUUCAUCGAUGGAGGUUAAUUUUAUUGAUGGCGGAUGUCCGCCGACUAUCUUUAUAAUAUUAGAUGGCGGAAAUCCGCCAUCAUAAGUACGUUAGGCCGUUGCCUGCGAAUAUAGAUGGUGGACGUCCGCCAUGUAAACUUUAGUUUAAUAGUAUGGAUGGCGGAAAUCCGUCAUACAAUGUUUGUGUUAUUUUUUUUAAAACAGACUAUUAUAUUAAACGUUCGAAUCGUUAUUUUUUUGAAUUAGAAUACGAUAUUUGAAAAGUUGAUUUUGAAAUACAGAAUCGUUAAACAUUCGAAGUUUAAAAACGAAAGUACAAGUUUACAAUAUUAAUCAACACUCAUUGGAAAUAGAGUCGUCCGAAUCUGAAUUCGAAUUAUCUGAUUCUAAUGCAGACGGUAUGCUGGACUUCGAAGUGGACGCAAUGCUCGUCAAAUCUAGUCCGGAAGCCUUCAAAGCUUUAGUCAUCUGUUUGAACGUCGAUUUCAUUGAUUGAAACUUCUUCUUGUAUUUCGAGAUCCCUUUUUGACUCUCGUUAUACUUGUUCUGAAAAUUAAAACAUAAAUGAGUUCGAUAAUCAAUAAAAUUAAUGAAUUAUAUUUAAAAUACCUCCAAGUUUUUGCUUGUUCCGUCAACAUAUUUCAAUCGUCAUUAGCAGACGUGUUUUCGGAGACAGACUCUUUUCCUUUCCAAUUUGGAGAAGUCCAUUUUUCGUUCGUUGUACUAACCAUACUGGUCGCUUCUCCAAUCCCUAAAAUCCUAUUCUUUUAUAUUUUUUCCGAAAGUCUUGUUGACCGUCACUUCGAUAAAUUGCUGUAUUACCAGAUCGCUCAUGUUAUGAUCUUCUACAUCUUAGGUCUCCCUGUUCCGUCAUCUGGCUUAUGUUCUUCAUGUAGCAUUCAGACCAAAUGACUCUAUGAAAUUACGUCGAUACUUCCAUAUAUCACGGGUAACGUAGAAGACAUCUCUAUUUUUCCUCGGGGAUUCUUAUAAUUACCACUGCUUAGUUUUCAAUUCGCCUCUGACCAUCAAAUUAAAUGUGAAUAACCCAUCUCCCUCUUUUUGAAACAAGGGACGCUUCCGGUUCUGUUCGUGCUUCAAACAAUUUUGUCUUCUCCAUAUUACCAUAUCUCUAGAGUCAAUAAUUUUCUAUGAAGAACUACUGAACUCAAUCACUUGUUGCCGUUACUCAACAGUUUUCUGUUGAGGUCUAUCCCGUAGAGGUAUUCAAAUUGGAUCAGUAAUCGAUUUAUAGGUUUCGUCGUAAACCUAAUUGGUUACUUCCAAUUACGUAAAUCAAUAGUACAUUUCAAUUACGUAAAUCAAUAGUACGUUCAAACCACACUCAAAGGUAGAGCAUUUCCCAUUGAUAUAGAAACUUUUGUAUCAGAAACAAUGGUAUCCCCCUCUGGGAUGUAAAAUAUAUCUCUUCUCACCAUCCUCAUAGUGUAUGAGACAAAUGUAUGCAUUUCGAUUAGGAUCGUAUUCUAUGGUUACGAUUCUACCAGAUAUGUCUUUUUCAUUCCGUUGAAAAUCUAUUUUACGGUAUAGACGCUUACGAUCUCCCCCUCUAUGCCCCACGGUAAUGAUUAAUUCUUCUCGCAUUAUGACCUUUACCACAAUGAUGCUGUCCAUAGAUUAAAUUUUUCUGUGGAUUGGAUUUCACUUGACUGUCUACGGCUCUGUUGCGUGUACUCCGGGUAGAAGUUUUGUAUAAAUGUAUCGCCAUGUUAAUGUUAUUAAGUAUUUUGCUUUAAGUUCUUUUCUCUAUAAGAGGUGGAAUAUAAUAACCCGGUUGAAGCGUAAUGAUCAUACGUCUGUAAUUGUAAUGCAUUGUAUGUCCCAUAAUAAGUCCCAUUCUUCUACCUUUUCUAGGGAGUCGAUGACUAUUCAUAGCUAUUACCUUGACACCAAAGAAGAGUUCGACCCAAUGCUUUAUUUCUGUUCUAGUUGAUCCUGAUUCGACAUUAGAAGUAUAUUGAUUGUUCUCCAAUAAUCGAAUACUUUUUUCUGUAAAUACUGCAUAUUUGAUUCCAUCCAUAAAUCCAUUUUCUUCCCUAUGAGUUCCAGUAUCGAUAAGAAUUCUAGUUCUUAUUGUUCGUAUGUUAUGUAUGAACAUACCAUACCAAUUCGUUAUGUAUGGAUGAUGAAAUUCUAUAUAUACAGAGUCAAUUCCAAUGGACUUAUUGAACGUUCCCAUUGACGUGCAUCCAGCAGGAAUUGAACCUACGAAUUUGCCAAUUAUGAGUUGGCGCUUUAACCAUUCAGCCAUGGAUGCUUAAUGGGUAUAUGGUAUCGUGAUUGAAUUGUAUUGUAUCGUAUCGUGAUUGAAUUGUAUUGUAUCGUGAUUGAUUUUUAAUUUAAACGGAAUCUUUAACAGGAAGCAACGAAACGAUCAAUAGAAGAAAUCGAUGAAAGUUCAGGAAUCCAUAAAACAAUAUCAAUGUAAAUUGUGGAUCGUCGAAUUGAAAGAGAUAUUGAGAGAGAUCAAGAAUUUUCAGUAUUUCUUAGAUUUAUGGAGAAAAUUCGAUUCCGUGGGAUAUUUCACUCACAUUUUUUUCUAUCAAGAGUGUUUUCUUAAACUCUUUGACCUCCGAAUUUGGAAUAUCCUACUUUUACGUGAUUCACAGGGUUGGUUCAACAAGUAAUCGAUAUUUCAAAGGUGUAGUACUGCUUAUUGUAGGGGUUCCUUUCAAGCGCUCGGAAAAUGUUAAUUUAUUCAUGAGCUCUAUUUACAAAAUACCGUUUCCUUGAUGAGUUUUAAAAAAGAUUGUUCGAGACCUGUAUAGGCCAUUUUAUUUUUAAUUUUUUGACAGUUAAUUGAAUUGAUAUUUUCUUAAUCGACGUGAUGUUUUCAUCUCACCUCAAAACGACAAUACUGAUGCACAUUUUUCACUCUUAAAUCUUCGAUCAUCUUACCACCCUAUAACUUCUUCUAAUCUUCUUCCUGAUCACCAAAAUUUAGUUUCUUUUUUUUUUUAAAUUCUAAAUCGGUUAUCUCCAUCAGCUGUUUGCGUUUAUAAUCGAAUGAGAUUGCAACUAUUUUGCAAGUUCCAGAUUAAAUGAGAUUUUAGCAAAUGGGUCUGAGUGUUUGAUUUUGCCUCAACUUUUGCGCAAUCAAAUAUACGAUUCUUUGAUUAAAUUAUAUUUUUACCAACUCUGAUUCUCUAAUGCUUGAAUCUUGAUCAAAUUAAGGCCAAAUAUUACCAAUUACUUAAUGAAUCAUACUGUAUUUUAAAAUAAACCGAGUCAAUCGUUUUAAACAAAAAACCUAACUCGAAAUUUUAAUUUUUUUUUUUGUAUCGAUUCAUACUCUAAUAAGACUAACAAAAAUCAAUCAUCGUUCUCAUUGUGAAUACAUGAAACUUAGAAUUACAAAAACAAAGCUUAAUAUAAUAAGCAAAGAAUUAACAUGCUUUCGUAAAAAAAAUUAAGCUCCAAAAUUGAAUAUCUUAAUAUAAUAAAUUAGACAGAACAACAAGCUCGACAAUCCAUAUUAUCUAUCCAUUCUAGAUCGCAAACAACAUGAUAAUACAGCUUUACCAAAAGGAAGUAAUCUCUAGAUAUGUCUUAAUCACCCUUCUUCCGAAAGGAGCAGCCUUCAGUGAGUCUAGCUUUGCCGCCAGUAGGCUGACAUAAAAUCGUCUGGCAAUUGGAGCACACAACAACUGUUUGAGAGUGGCUAAAAACUGUAGUUCUGCGUAAAAGAAAGAAAACAAGUACAUGAUUAAACCCUUGUUAAAUAAAAAAGAUGAAUGAUUAUUUAGAUCAAUGCAAAUAUGCAAUAUCGAUUCUUCUGUGUAUUUCAAGGUAUAUUACAAACAUCAUUUAUAACUAAAAAUGCAAUAUCAAUUUCAAUUAACAUUACAAACAUGAAACAUCAUUUAUAAAAAUUGUGUUCAGGUUCAAUACACAAUACUUAAUAUCCAUGAUCAAAUAAAGUUUUUUGUCACAUAUACUUAGAUAUUUCAAAAAGAUAUUUAUAGUUCACAUUAAAUUUAACUCUCUUUUAGUAGAGGAGCAGAGAAAGACUUGUGAGAAAUGUCAGUCCUUCCCAAAAAUCGGAAUGUAGCAGCAAGGAAUAAUCUCAAAUAUAUCUCCUUGAGGAAAAUAGGGCUUCUAAAAGCCUGUCGUCUUUCAGUAAUAAAAACUAAUCCAUUUCCAUCGGGUUUCCUCAUUUAAUUAAUUUAAAUUUAUAUAAGUACUCUGACUCAAUGUUUUGAUUUAGUCAUCACUAUACACUAGCAUUUAAUUUUCUAAUGCGAUAUUAGCAGUACUGCUAAUAGCACCUAAAUGAUUUAGAGCAAUUUAGUUACACUGUUUUAAUGCGCUAUUUUGUCGCAAAAUUACGUUAAUAGCUCAUUAAUUUUUUUUGUAAGUUAAUGGCUAAAUAGGUAAUGGACCUAUAUAUUAUAUCAUAAGAUAUAUUAAAAGUUAUAACUUAAGGGUAAAAUAGUAAAAUAAAUUAUUUAUUUGAUUAAAAUUAUAACCAUUGGAAUGAAUCAAACCAUUCCAACAGAUCUCCCCCUCCCUCUAUCUUUCUUCUUCUUCCUUAUUUACUGAUUUCCAGACUAUUUUCGAAGUCUUCAUCUCCAUUUUCUCCAAGUCUCUAUCUCCAUUAUCUCAAGGUCUCCAUCUUCACAAUCCUAUCUUCAAUUCUCCAAAUCUACAUUUUCCAAUUCUUUUCUGAAAAUCCAGACUUCAUCAAAGACUACAAUUCUGCAAAAACCGUCACAGAACGAUUUUUGAAGAAUAGCUCAAUUCUGCAAAUCCAACUUCAGAGCAUGCAAUUUCAAAAUCCAGAGCCCUUCUCCGUGUUUCCUUGUGAACACGCUUGGUUUGAUUCUUUUAACUCUAUUUAUUUUCGUAAUUAGAUUUUAUUCAACCUCAACCAAAUGAUUUUUCCCAUGUAAAACCCAAAAAUUCUAAGGAUCCUAGUUGAAGAAAUGCUUGCUAAAAAUUGAGGCCAGAUUCAUCAUCCGGCGACAAUGACACAUCAACGACUUAAGGAGACACUCAAUGGAAGAAAUAAAAUACCACAUAUGACUAUGAGAGUAUGAAAAGUCAUAAAACCUAUCAUGUAUCUCUAUUUAUCUAUUUCUAUAAUUCUAUUUGCUAUCUAUGAUCUAUCUAUUUUGGAAAUAUUUCUAUUCCAAUUUCUAUUGUAUGCUUUAUGUUUUAAUGAAAUGAUUAAGUGAAUAAUCUUUAUUUUAAUUUUUAAUCAAUGAAAUCUCUUCAAAUAAAUAAAUAUAUUUUUCUGAUUUUUUUUGCCCAAAAAAAUUUUAGCCACAGCUAAAUCGCUAGUAGCGACUAAUUUCCUAAUGCACUAAAUGCGCUAUUUAUGAUUCCAGAAUAUUGCUCUGACUGAUGACUUAUCAAGACACCAGUCAACCGACCUAACAAAGGCAUGGCACUCAGCAUGCAACUAAACACUGUUUAUGUGCAGGCAUCAUAAACAACGUAUUUAUGAAUUAGGAUGGUAAAUUUAAUAUGCUAAAUUACUUCCAGUAUCUAUGUUGAUGUCAGUUUGGAGUGGAGUGUAUUAGAAGAUCUUCAGGUUCAACAUUCAUGACUCGUGAAGCAGUAGAAGAAAAGGUGAAAGUAAAGAAUGUUCAGCUGAUCUUGAAGAAGUUAUUAAGUAAGGUUAACUAUGCCAAAUUUAUAGUUAUGUAAUAUGAUAUAAAAUAAAUUUUAUUUAUAAAUCAAAACACAAAAAAUUGAGAUUAUUUUUUAUAGUAAUAUAGUUGUCUAAUAUCUACAUCAUACAUUCAUACCUAACUAAUAAAUAAAAUUAGUUAGAUUAACAUACAUGCCUCCAUUGCAAUGAAAUGAAUGGAUAAGGUAAUUACUAGUAGCAAGUGUAUAUAUGCUACCAGAUUCAAUGGAAUACUGAAUUAUAAGAGUAUCACUCUCUCCUACAUAACUACACCUUUCACUUAUAAUUUUUAUUAUUAAUUGAUAUAAAAACAAUCAAAACAUUGAAACUUAUUUGAAUAGGAAAAAAAUUGAUUGGCUUUGAUAGAUGAGUGUGUUCUAACUGACACUGAUUAGUUUAAUUAAAUUUUUAUUUGCUUGUAAAAAAGAAAAAUUUAUGAGUGCUGCAAUGCAGUACCGAUGAAAAAAACACAAUGCAGGAGAUAAGAUCUUACAUGUUAAAGCACCCUUGGCAUUUAACAUCCUACAAUGAAAACGCAAGAUCAGUAAUCAAUAUCAAAUGUCAAAAAAAAAGCAAGCAGGCAAAAAAAUGUCAGCAUAAGUUAACCAUGAAGAAGGAAUUUGGCGACUGAACAAGACGCUUCAACUUGUGCCUCCUCUUCUCAAGAUCGACAGGAGGGUUGAGCAGAUCAACAUCGUUGGGGAGAACCUAAACAUGUAAAAAUCAUGAGAAUGGACAAAAAAGGAAAAAUUAAAAGUUGAUUAUUUGGUCGACGUUCCCACCAUCUUAAAUAGGCGGCGGGGAAAGGGGGAAAAAGAAAACCCUACUGAAAGUCUGAAACUGGCCAAACGAAUAGAAAUAGGGAUCUUAUUUAUAUGAAUUAUAUUCGGAUCAUAACGAAAGAUCCAUGUCUGAUAACCCAAAUAUAGGUAAAGUCCAAACCCUAAACGACCAAUUCUUUAAAGUCCAAACCCUAAUCGAUCGGUUAAUCCUGGAAAGUCCCAUUUCCUUCCCAAGCGGCCGUCGGAUAACCUAUUCCCACUAUAAAAAGUCACCGACCAUCUUUUCUCUACGGAUUUUUUUUCUCCAAGCCGCUUGUUAAGCUCCUUAUUUCUUUCGUAUGUUCUUUUGAUAAUCUAUGUUGUUGACUUGUUAUGAUUUUUAUUUUUUAAUGAAUGCACACUAGAAAAAAAAGUCUGAUCAUCACCAUUGCUCUGCUGAUUUUAAUCAUCACUGGUUUUGAAUUGUUUCUUGGUUACUUUCUUUGGAAGCUAAAAAUUUGCACUAGAAUUAUUAAUUUAUUGAAAUUAACUCUCAAAAUCCUUUUUUUUGUAUUCUUCAGUCUAACAAAACGAACCUGUAAUGGGAAAGCGAGGAUCAAAGAGCAAUAAGAGGUCUGGCGCUUCUGCUAGAUUUAGCAAUUCGACUAAAAAACGUCGGGAUGCUGAUCCAGGCUUCGGAGGGGAGGAUGAUUUGGACGACCAAAUUGAUACAUGUGUUGUCUUAAAGCUGAAAUUUUUCAUUGACAUUAGUUUUUACGGGUUACACAUUAACGUUUUUUUGUCUGCUAUUUUUUUUUGUCUCAGUUCAUAAAGAAAGAGAUAUAAUUCCUCUCGACAUUAACUCUGGUAAUAAAAUCGUUUUAUAUUCAAGCAAUGACUGCUCAAUCCUUGUUUUAUUUUAUUUUAUUUUUUUGGUAGGUGAUAUUUCUGAUGAUGACGAUGCGGAGCAUCCUGUCUUUGAUUUUGAGGUACAUGGAUAUAAGUAUAUACUUGGUGCUGAAUGCUGAUUGCUGAAUUUAUGACCUAAUGCAAAUUUUUUGUAUCGUUAAAUGGAUAAGUCCUUUGAAAUUUGAAUUGUGUCAGCACUUUCCUUGUCUUAAUAUUGAUUCAUUCUUGUUUGACCUGGUUUAAAUUAUUUAUAAAGGAUGAUGACAGCAAUGACAGCGAUGACAGUAAUAAUAAAGAUAAUGACAAUGGUGAUGACGAGACUGUCGAUAGACUUCCACGUUUUGCGGCAAAAAGUAAGUUACUAAAGCAUAAAGAACUCUAGAAUGAAUCUCAGUGUCCUACAUUUUUGUUCAUUUUAUUUUUCUUAAAACCCCAAUAUAUUUCAGGUUUCUCAAAUGAUUCUAGUAUUUUUCAAACACUCCGUUAAUCUUCACCUAGCAGUGGAUCUAUCUAUUCCCAUUGUUUUUGUGUUUGAUUUCUUUUGAUGUUUAUUUUAUUCUUCUUUUUUUGACUUUCUUAAUAACAAUUAUAUAGUGGCGAGACAAGAAAAAUAUUUAAAGCAACAAAUGGGAGGAAUUGAUAAUGAUAUCCAUGAUAUGGAUGGUGAAUCUGAAGAAGAAAAAAAGAUGGUGUGGGGAAAACAUAAAGAUAUGUACUUCAAUGCUGAUAAUGGUGACAACGAGGCAAGAGCUUUUAAUCCAUUUUCCCACUUUACUCGAGCAUAGCUAUACAUUUCUUUAUGUGAAUAUUUUGGUCUUCUUUUGGAUUUUUAGAAAUAGUCUGCUAUCUGACUAAAGAAAUAAUCGAUGUUACCUUUUUUUCUUCUCUUUAGUGAUAUGUAGAUAUGGCAUGCUGUUUAAUUUUAUAGAAAUCAGUAAUGACAUGAUUUGUUCCGGGUCCCAGCUAUGUAGUGAUAGACUAAUGCCUCAAAAGGUUGGACUCCCAUAACAAUAUGGCUUCCAUUUCAAUCUGGUGAAGAUUUAUUUUUCUGUAGGGUGUAGCACCAUGUCUCAAUUAGUAGUUAGUUAUAUAAGGUAAAUAAUUGAGUAUUCCCAAGUAGGGAUGUAAACGACUCGAGUCGAGCUUUGAAAGAAUUGGUCGAAUUUGAUAAAAAAAUUCUGAGCUCGAAUUUGAUAAGGUCGUUAAAGCAAAAUUUGAAAUCGACUCGACAUCAACUCGAAUUAAAAAAAAUUAGGAUUAUUUCUGGAUUCGGACAUUUGGUUAUUUAUAUUAUUGUAUAUUAAAUUUUAACCUUUAAUAAUUUAAAUUUUAAAAGAAGGAAAAAAUAUAUUGGGUUAUUUAUAAAUUAUAACCUCUAUAUAAAAAUAUAAAAAAUUAUAAAUAUAUUUUUUAAUUUUCUUAUCAAGCACCUUACCCGAAACUCGAACUUGACUCGACAAGUUUAUCGAGUACCAAUAUCCAAACUUUUAAAUGCACGAUAGCGCUAUGCGUCAGAGGUAUUUUCGUAAAUAAUUUAAAAAUAUAUAAAUUUCAUAUAUUUAUAUACUUAAUUCAGAUAUCCCUUAAAUAUUUAAUUCAGAUAUUUUUAAAUACAUAAAUCAGAUAUUUUUAUUUCAUAUAUUUUGGUUUUUUCACCUCAUAACCAGUCGCGAAGGUCAGAGGAGGGAGUCUUGAUUGGGGGAGGAUUAGGGAAGAUUGGAGGAAGAUUAGGAAAGGUUUUAGGGUAUGCCUUGCGUUUUCCAAAAUACAAGGGAGCCCCAAAUUUUUUUAAAAAUAAAGUGAAGCGGAUCUGGGUUCAGAUUUUAGAUCUUUUAGAACCAUGCCAUUAUUAAACUCGAACUCGAUUCGUUAAACUAUCGAAUCGAGCUCUAGCUCGUGCUGUUCACGAGCUUGAGCUCAAUUUGCAUCCCUAUUCCAAAGUAAGCAUAUUAACCUAUUCAAUAGAACUCACACUGGAUCAGAUUUUUCAUCUUUCUCUCAUUAUUGCUGUUGUAUCUUACCUUCAAAAUCCAUUUUAAACUUACAUCCAGCAUUUCUUCUCCUAUUUAUUUUAAUUUGUAAUAUGCAGCUAACAAGUAGUGAUGAUGAGGAUCUAUGUGCUGAAGAAAAUGAAGCAUUGAAAAUGCAAAGAGAGAAAGCGAAAUCCUUUACACUGGCAGAUUAUGGUUUUGAUGAGGAUGAAAUAGAUAAGGACAGAAAAGAAAGCACAUCAAAGUCCGAAAAUAAAGCCAUAGAAGAAUCUUUUACUGAUGGAAUCCACAAAAGGAAUAUGUGUGAAGAAGUCAUCAAUGUUAAGAAAGAUGUGAAUGCUUUGUCAAAAGAGGAUCAGAUGAAUGUUGUGUAUAGGUAAUUCCUUUUAAAUCCUUGUAUUUUUUUAAACACGAAAUACAAACAUCAAUUUGCCAUUGGAAGCACAACACACUAUUUUUACUAACCUAUAAUUUUUGAAGUCAAUUGCCAUCUUAAACUCCCUAAAAAGAAUAAAAAACCCAGCACAGCCACAGUGUAUUAUGGGUUAUGAAACAAAGAUAAAAAAAGGUACACCACCUCUUCUUAUUUCGACUCUUUAUAUGUUUUUGCAGUUCUGCUCCAGAAUUAGUUGGUCUUCUUUCAGAAUUAAAAGAGACAAUUGCUCAGUUUGAAACUGUGGAUGGUCUGCUUUCCAAGGUAUGUUGACCUUUAACAUUUCUUUGAAAUUGUUAAAAUUGCACAAACCCGUUUAUUUCUAUUCUUAUGGUGGUGUAUUUUUCCAUUUAUUAUUAUUUCAUUCACUUUUUCUAUGUGAAAAACUUCCAAGCUUUAUUCACUAUAUUCAGGGAGUUGGAUCCAUUCCGUAAAAAAGAGUAACAUCAUGAUAAUCUUUUUUUACUUAAUGGACAAUGCAUAGUUGCAUACUAUAGAGAAUUUGGAAUCUGUUUGCAGAUCAAAGAAAAAGAACAUGUAAGGGAAGGAGCAGUGCACUAUAUUGAGCUUAAGAGGAUGUUGCUGCUGAUAUAUUGCCAAGCUAUUGCUUUUUAUCUUCUUCUCAAGUCAGAGGGCCACUCGAUACGGGACCAUCCUGUAAUUGCCCGUCUUGUUGAGAUUAAGAAUUUAAUUGAAAAGGUUAAUUUAUCAAUCCAGAAGAUUUCAAGUUAUAUAUUUUUAAAUGUAUGCAAUCAGUAAUAUGGAUGAGUUACAAAUCAAUUUAGUUUCGAAUAUUAAUACAACAUGCAUAAUAAAUUUCUGACAAUUUGGUAUACUUUAUAGGUUAAAAAUAUAGAUGGGCGUAUCCCAUUUGAUAUUGAAGAAAUUCUAAAUAAUGAUCAUGCGAAUCGUGGAUAUAAAAAAAGCGUUACUUCAGAAUCACAAUAUGGUGCCAUAGGAAUAUCAACUGAUUCAUACGAAGUUCCAAAGGUAUACAUCUUAUUAGUUUUGAAUUAGUUUAUCCCUUCUGGUAUGCAAAUAUAUUUAUAAUAUAUUUCAGGAUCUAGCACAAGAGGUUCUUGAAAAUACCACUCUUAAAGACAAGGUUUGUAAUGAUCAAAUUUGUAUUUUCUUCUAAAUGUAAACAGGUGGCAUCAACUGCAUUUUCUUCUAAAUGUAAGUUUACCAUCGACGAAAAUUGUAAUUAUUUCAGGUCUUUCAACUGGGCCGUCAGAGUAAAGAAAUGCUUAAAGCCAGAACAAAACUUGAGGAAAAGUUAAAGAAAAAUGGCAUUUAUAACAAACUGAAGCAUGAUCCAGAUAGGCAGCAAACCACCUUUUCACAACCACCAACUAAGUAAUGACUCGUUAAAUAAUCAUACAAUUUAAGAAAUGUUGGAAAUAUUCUGCUCUCAUUCUUUUUUUAAUCUUUUAAAUAGGCGAGUUAAAAUAUUUGAAGAUUUCGAUGAUGAAGUUGCGGAGUGUCGAAGUAAUUUGUUAAAAUCAAGCAAACUCUCUCAAUUAGUUGCAACUAAGAUGAAUAAGCCUAUGGUAUGUCAUGUCUGCAGUGUAUUUGUAGAUGUAUUUCUUUUAAUACCUGAUCAAUUUCUCAUUUCUAUUGUCAAGAUUAGAGGUAGCUGGGUAAGUAAAACUGUACCCUCAACUCAAUCCCAUAGCUGUGAAAGGUUGUGAAUUCAAUUCCUACCAAACCAAAAUAGUUUUGAAUUUAUCAUAGUUUUGAAAGUGCCGCUUUAAGCACGCUAAAGCUUUAAAGCUCUCUUGGAGGAGCGCUUUUCCUAGAGCGGGUUCGGGUGAUGAUCCGCCCGAUUAGGCGAUUACCCAAUUACACCUAUUUUUUAAUAAUAUAUUCACCUAAUAGACUUUUUUUCCUAUUCUAUCUUAAAUUAAACUCUUACUCCACUUUCAGAUUUUAGUAUGAAUUAAAUCUUUAAUAUUCUAUUACAAGUGAUUUUAUACUUUUAUAAGGGAUUUGAAUAGAAGAAAACCCAAUCCUUGUCUAACCCUAUGUCCCUAUGGGCUGUGUCAGAUUCAAAUCUGCACUUUCCUAACCCUUAUCUUUCUUUUGUUAACAUAUCUCAAUUUUAAAGGAUUACUUGAUUGUAUAUUUUCUUCUUUCGCUCAAAUUUUCCAGUGUUGAUUGGGUAAGUAAAACUGUACCCUCAACCCAAUCCCAUAGCUGUGAAAGGCUGUGAAUUCAAUUCCUACCAAACCAAAAUAGUUUUGAAUUUAUCAUUGUUUUGAAAGUGCCGCUUUAAGCACGCUAAAGCUUUAAAGCUCUCUUGGAGGAGCGCUUUUCCUAGAGCGGGUUCGGGUGAUGAUCCGCCCGAUUAGGCGAUUACCCAAUUACACCUAUUUUUUAAUAAUAUAUUCACCUAAUAGACUUUUUUUCCUAUUCUAUCUUAAAUUAAACUCUUACUCCACUUUCAGAUUUUAGUAUGAAUUAAAUCUUUAAUAUUCUAUUACAAGUGAUUUUAUACUUUUAUAAGGGAUUUGAAUAGAAGAAAACCCAAUCCUUGUCUAACCCUAUGUCCCUAUGGGCUGUGUCAGAUUCAAAUCUGCACUUUCCUAACCCUUAUCUUUUUUUUGUUAACAUAUCUCAAUUUUAAAGGAUUACUUGAUUGUAUAUUUUCUUCUUUCACUCAAGUUUUCCAGUGUUGAUUUUCUCUCUUUCUUGAUGCUAUGAUAUCUAGAAGUUGGUUUCUGGUGAAGAUGAUUUGCCAAUUAGGGAUGAUAUUGGUGAGAGAAGAAGAAAACAUGAAAUUCGUGUUCUUUCAAGAGCAGGGUCUGGUUUGAUGGAUGCUGAUAUGACAAUUGAACAUGAAGGUCAAGAAAAAAAAGAUUUGAACAUGGACCAGAAUGGUAGUGAUGAUGACGAAGACGACGACGACGAUGAUAUUGGUAGAUCGGAAGAUUCAGAGGAUGAUUUUUAUAAGCAGGUAAAAGGAGAUAUAAUUUCCAAACGUUCAGCCAAAGCAGAAACCAAAAAAAGGUAUGCCGAAUUUUAUAAUUUUGAUACAAAUCAAGUAGUUUAUAUCUUGUCCAAGUCUGAUGAUAACUUAUUAUAUCUUAACAGCACUCCAGUUGUGAUUUCCUUGCCUGAAACCGAAGCAGAUGGUAAACGACACAUCUCAUACCAGGUAAGUCAAUCAACAUACCAUUGUGACUUGUGAGCAGAUCCUUGUUUCAUUCAUUCAUUCAUUUGCUUCUUCAUUACACCACCACCAGAUGGAGAAAAACAAAGGACUCACUCGUUCUCGGAAGAAGGAUACGAAAACCCCUCGAAAGAAAUACAAGGCAAGACAGAGUUGUUCAAUAAAUAUUUAGAAUUUGUUUCGUAGUUUUUAUCAGUAUUUGAAAUAUUCUUAAUUCAUCUGCUUUAAUUUUCCUAUUCAGAUCAAGCAUCAAAAAGCUGUUGUUCGCCGGAGGGGACAGGUUCGUGACAUUCGGAAACCUUCAGGUCCAUAUGGUGGAGAAGGUUCGGGUAUCAAUACCAACAUCAGUCGUAGUGUUCGGCUGAAUCAGUAGUGACUGUGAUAGUUAAAUAAACACUUGUUGUAAUAAUCAUAACUUUGUAAUUUGUUUAAAGUGUGAUUAACAAUUUAGUUUAGACUUAACUACAAACAAAUACCCAAGGUUUUAAGUUAAUCAUUUUAUGGAAUUGAUUUGAGUUGUUAAUCGUUUUUUUCACAUGUUUAAUUUGUAAACCUUGAUUUAAUUGACUAUAAUGAUUGAUCCACAAUAGACAAAAUAAAUAUGGAAUUUUAGUGUUGUAUUAUUAUUCUAUUGGAAGGAAUUUGGCUCUACAAUUCAAGUUAUCCAACAUAGAAACAAAUCCAUAUGAAGAUGCACACGGCACACAGACGAAGUAGAUGACAAACACGCUGUUUGGAUCUUGAUAGAAAAAAACCAAAAUAUGAAUGCAUGCUUACUACAUUAUCAUUGAAACCUAUGUGUUGGAUUACUUGCCAGAACUACAAGCCUCGUCGACAUUCAAACCAUGUGGUCCAAAGCAGAAAUAAUGAGUUCUAGACUUGGUGUUUUUAUUACCUUUCACUAACUCUGGUUUCGUGGAGGAAUUGGCCAUGGAUGAUGCUGACGAUGAUGAUGGUUCCUCCUCUCCCACUAUAUCCAUCUCCGUCGAACUAGCUGAUAUCAUUGAAGAACCAUCGACAGGGACUGGUGCUGGUGUGGAGGAGGAUGAAGAGGAGGAUUUCACUUGAGGAGCUAAAUGCGGCAUGGAUUGAAUCACACCUUGAGUUAGACUAGCGGUCAGUUUUUUCUUUGAUGAUGGACUUGUACUGGUUCUGACGGCGAGAGUUCGCUUGUUGUUCUGAAGUGAGCUUGUUUUCGAGAAUCGUUCCCGGAGUGAUGUUGGAUUGUCUUCUUUCCGGAUCAGAUUUUGUAAGUACUCGUCCUUUUUUCGACUCAGAUUUUUCAAAGAACCAGCUGAACAAUCGUCGUCAGUGCCAGUAGUGGGUGCAGACAAAGAGAGCGGAGUUUUGGCUUUUUUCUUUUCCCUCUUCAGAGGCCAACGGAGAAGGGUCUUCAGACGACUUGUGGCGCUACUCAUGGAAGAGCUAGGUUUCUUUUUGGUCUCUCCUGUUUCUUCCGGUAGGAUAUUCAUAUCAUUUUUACCGAUACUUGAGCAUGAACUAGGUCUUCCGCUUCCGACAGCACUGCCGGUAGUACCGGUGCCGCCACUUCCUAUGUCUUUGCAAAUACCUUCGGAAGAGGUUGUAAUGCCUGUGUAUAAGAAUAUCUCGGCAUCCGAUAUCCUGAACGAAGUUCCCGGACUGUUUAGGAUUCCCCUCCCCUGACUAGACUUCCGACGAUAACUCCUAUUGCAUAUUGCUGAGUUUUUUGCGAUGUUGCAGUUACUGGAGUUCGAUAGCCCUCCAGCAGAUAUCAACCGUUUGAUCAAUAUGUCCGAUGUUGCCGAUCUCGGUCGUUUAUUCAGUAGAUCCAAAGGAGUCAUCCCGUUGUGAUCUUGGACAUUAAGGUUGAUCGAUUUUGUGCCAAGGAGAAGAGAGACGAGUUCGCCGUGAAGAUUCCCGACGGCCAUGUGAAGAACCGUUCUUCCCUCGUUGUUGCGGUAAUUUACGAUCUCUUCGAUGUUGACUAAUGAUCCGUUAAUCAAUUCCUUGAUGAGAUCCAUUUGGCGAUCGAGUCUUCGGAAUCCUGGUGUUCUGAAUCCGGCCAAGGCGAUGUGGAGAAAGGUAUCACCCAUGGAGUUUGUGAGCGACAUAGCCGGGGGAGAUGCCAGUAUCAACGCUUGCAGACAUUGCAGAUGACCUCGGAAUGCCGCGACGUGGAACGACGUGUUUCCUUGAUCAUCUUUAGAGUCGAUUAUGUCGAAGGACGCGACGAGGUUUUUGACUACAUCGGUUCGACCUCUGGCGGCUGCGGCGUGUAGCACAGUGGAGCCGUGGAUGUCUCUGUAAAGUAGAAUAUCACGACAGUUACGAAGCAGAUCUCUGAGAAUCUCCCAACUUCCUCCUCUAGCGGCGGCGUGUAGAGCUCUGGUGAUCAUCUCCGAACGAAAAAGCAAAGCGUCCUCGUUUGUUCCCGUCAUCUCGACAUCUCGCAAUGACCGUGGCGACAUGGAGAAAUCAAACAACAGUUGGAAAACAUCGCAAGAAUUGCUCCUGGCGGCGGCGUAUAGUAUGUCCGUAACACCGAACUCACCUUCUCCGAAAACCAAAAGUGGAUCUCUCUGUAGCAAAUCGUGAACAAACCCCAUAUCUCCGGCAGACGCAGCGGUGUAAACCAACCAACCUCCGUAUCCAGUUUUGAUGAGAGAGUUAUCUCCGGGUGAAAUCUCACACUCAGAAAGCAAGCUACGAGCGACGUUGGACCUGCACCUAGCAACAUCGGCAUAAGCAGAGUCGUCAUCCCAGACCGUCUCGAGGCGGCGGAUCCUGCGGAGAGACGUGAGCUUGAUGAGGAGGUUUGGAUCAAUAUGCAGCAAUUCACGAACGAGAUCGUAGUGUCCGUUUGCCGCCGCCCAGUCUAUCGGCGAUGCGUACCACCAUUGGUCGCCUGUGCUCUCCCACCGGAGCGGAAAGUACGAUGGCGCCAUAAUUAGUUUGGGUCGUAUCCAAAAACAGAACUGAAGAUGAGCCAUGAGGAAUUUAGACGUUUAAUUACGGUUCGUUGGUACUAUUUCUAAUUUUUCGGAGGACUGAUGUUUAAUUUUUCAUUUUCUAAUAAUUUUCUUUCAAAAAGUGUGAAGGAAAAAAACUGCUUUCUUUCAUAAAGGUUUCAUAUUCUAAAGUGGCAAUGGUUGCCCACUAUUCCAUUAACCACUGGUCCAAUCAAUCAUGUGGAAUUUUCAUUUAUUUUUUUACCACCAUGUAACGUAGAUUGUAAAAAAAGUAUUUGGGCCUAGUGGGCCUAGCUAUGUGUACAGUGUGCACAUGCAGCAUAAAAGUCAUGUUGGAACUUGGUGGUUUAGAAAGAAAGAAAAAAACUUUUAUUUUUACACAUUCAAUCAAUCAGACUCUACCUAAUCUUGUCUUGCAGUUGCAGGAAAUAAUGUUGGGAUAAGAAGUGGAUAAAUAGAUAAUGGAUGGAAAAUAUAUAUAAAGAAAAUAGCCAUGUGAGUUUCAUGUUCUCCUCCAGCCUUUAGCAUAUGCAGCUAUCUCAACACUAACUGCCACUCCCAACACUAGUCAACAAUAGACUAGUUCAACUGAUCUUAGUUAUUUUUAGUACGAUUUAUCUGAGAGAUACCCUCAAUUAUAUUAAAAAAAAAUCUCUUUUUGUUUAAGUUUUCUAGGCCUGUCUCUUUGCAUGGACUGAGGAGACAUCGUUAUCAGUAAUUCAGCAUGAUAAUAACACUUUUGUAAUUGGGAAUAGACUUUAAUAAUUACAAGUCCUUAAAAGAAGAAAAACCUAUUUAAUAGCUGGAUUUUAAAAAGAUAAUUUAGAAGCAACGAGUUCAUUUUGUUAGGGUUGAGAUCUCAAGGAUUUAUUACUUUAUUAUUUAUAACUAUGAACCACAGACCGAUCGAACCGUCCACUUCCGAGGCCCGGCCGCGUGAAAGGACUGAGCCAUGGAAAGUCCAGAAGGCUAAGAGGCUCCUGGGAAACCCUAUAAGUACCUCUCCUGAUCCAACAGGGGAGGGGGUUGACAAUUUGUGAAAGAAACCUAUAAGUACCUCUCCUGAUCCAAUAGGGGAGGAGGUUGACAAUUUGUGAAAGAAACCUAUAAAUACCUCUCCUGAUCCAACAGGGGAGGGGGUCGACAAUUUGUGAAAGAAAUUCAAAGAGUUGCGUGUGUGUGAGCAUCCGUCUGUGAACCCACACACCAUCAUCUUCCAAACCCAAAAAUGAUUUUUAUUCGAUUUUUUCUUUGUAAUAAAAAGACUGGAGUGUUACAAAAAUAAUUAUUGCCAUUCUUUGAAGACUUGUAUGAUGAAAGUAUGAAAAAUUAACAUUCUGAAACAAUCUAUCUAAUCAAUGAUUUUUUUGUUCAUUUUUAUUACUUCUAUUUUGCAAUUUGGACAUUGUCUUUUUUUAAAUAAAAUUUAAUUGUUUUCAAAAAAAAUGACAAAUUUUUAUUUUUAAUUUAUUGAAUAUUUUUGCUCUGACAAAUUUAAUUUACAGAAAAAUAAUUUUCUCGCCAACUAGCUAUAACCUAUAAGCCUAUAAGCAACAAUAUAUCAUAUAACUGAAAUGUACAAUUGUAUGUCAUUUAUAGUUUUAUACCAAUGUCAUUUAUAGUUUGACAAAAUAGCUUAAUAUUGAAGAUUACAUUAGAAACUAAUGCAAAUUUUAUAUAAAUCUAAAUAAUUAAUUACAUAAGAUAUGUUAUCACUUAUCAGCAACAAGAGAUCUCUACCAAGAAUUAAUGGACAUUUGAGAUUUGCUGUAUAUACUAACUAAACGUAUAAACUAAUAAAAUGCAUAGAUCGUUUGAAAAAUGCACUGGCUUACUUAUUCUCAGUUAACCCUUCUUCACAUUCUUUCAAAUACUUAGUAACUCGUGGAUCAAAAACUACUGCUUUCCGUAGAUACAUGGCAGCUUCAGACCUUUGGCCUUCAUUGAACAAUGUGCUGUGAAAACAAUUGCACCCCAUAGAAGAAAUAUUAUGAUCAAGUAUCAAAUAUGCGUUAUUGAUUGUGAAAUCGUAUAGUGAUACCUUCCUAGAAGAACCACUCCCUGGUAGUAACAAGCUUUAUCGGAAGGAGUGUCUGGUUCUUUAAAGUUCGAUAAUCUUUUCAAGUGUUCAAUUCCUUCGGACUUCCUUCCCUGCAAAAAGAAAUAUGUACAUGUAAGGAGAGACAUUAGAUUUAGAUACAGAUUUGAGAUACUCAGAAAUGCAAUCGAAAGAUAAUCAAAUCACAAAAGGUGGAAAUUACAACUUUAUGCAGAUGAUCAUAUAAAGUCCUACGCAAAAUCAUAUAAAUUGCAACCUAAAACUCACCUGUUGUAUCCGUGAAAGUCCUACGCAGAAUAAUGCAAGAAUCAGAAGAUUAAGCUCUUCCUCUUCCUUUAUCUGUUUGGAAUUUGAAUAAACAAAAAACAUGAAGAAUUUAGCACAUUAGGUUUUAGUGUUUUAUAUUAGAGUAUUGUUCCUGGGUUUUCUUUGUCAUGACCUUUGAGAUUGCACGUUCAAAAUAGUCAGCAGCAUCAUCUAGUGAUUUUUUUGAAAAAAGAACCUGACCCAUGGCAAUCAGAGCUCUCGUCAUAUUAGGAUCUUUCUCUGUGGACAAUCUAUAAAAAAAUAUAAUUUUUUGCAAUACUUUUGGUACAAAGAGAGGAUUGUUUAAAUAAGUUUUGAAAAAUGCCAUUGCUUACUGUAAUAAUGGAAGUGCUUUAUCAUAAUCACCAUUUGCCAUUUUUUCAAGUCCAAGCUAGAAAAGCAUUAAUCAAAGUUAAAUAUAUUGAAUUCAUAUCUAGUAUGGUUUCACCACACCAAAUCUGAGAACUGUCAAUUUUUCCCACUUAAAUGUACUCAGAGUUAACUGCUAUGACUAUGUUCAGAGUUAGUGACACUAGUGCUAAUUGCAAACAUGUCCAAAUAGAAAAAUUCACAAUAUUCAGAUUUAACUUCUAUGACCAUGUUCAGAGUUAGCGACUAAAUAUGCUCAAAGUUGCUAAUUUUUUGAAAUGACGAACAUGACCAAAUAUCAAAAUCUUCUGUUCCAACUUUAAGAUAUGGUUAACCAUACUAGAGCUUUAUUGUAUAAAUAACAUUAUAAAUUAUAAUACUAAAGGAAAUAAUGUAAACUCCAUUUUACUCACCUGAAGCAGGUGUUCAGGAGUAAGACUUUCAAUUCGAAUAGAAGAUUGCUGUUCAGAAGAUGUAUUAUCUCCAUUUACAUAAUUUGAAGAAGUUUUAAGCUUCAAAUUAGCAUUGACAACUGGCAAUCCAAGUUUGCCACGAAAGUAAGAACUUCUGAGAGAAAGUUGCUGCAAAAAUCAUUCACAUAAAUUAAGAAUGCAACUUAUCACCAAAAACAUAAAAGUAGUUUUUUUAGAUAAUUCAUAAGGUCCGACAAGAUCUAGGCAUGAAAAAAUACAUAAAACAGAAAAGGUAAAAACAAUAACUUGAUCAAUAAAAACACAACAAUUUGAAAACCAGUUGGUUGGAAUCCUUCAAACUUCCUUUUUCCAACUACAACUAUACAAGUAGCAUUACUGUUGAGACUUAAGAUAUCAUCACUACAUCUAAAGUGUAUCAUUCAAAAUAUGGUAACUUAAUAUAGUAUCAAUCAGAAGUAAAUUGGCACAAACCUGGAUGAUCUAGGCAUGAAAAAGAUACUUAUGACAGAAAAAGUGAAAACAAUAACUUGUUCGCUAAAAACACAACAAUUUAAAAACCAGUUGGAAUUCUUCUAACUUCCUUUUUCCAACAUUACUGUUGAGAUAUUAUCACCAUAUCUAAAGUGUAUCAAUCAAAAUAUGGUAGCUUAAUUUGGUAUCAAUCAGAAGUAAAUUGGCACAAACCUGGAUCAUUGUUAAUGAACUGUUAGUUACCCAGUAAACUAAACUCCCCUGCAAAGCAAGAAACCAAAUGUUGUUACAAGUUAUCAUUGUUAGUGAAAAUUGCUGUUUUCCUGAAAACAUCCCAAAUGACUAAAUAAAGAAGUUAUCAUUAUUACAAGUCUUUUUUUUUGUAAAUGAAAUCCCCCCCAUUUAUCUGAAAAACAGCUACAGCCUACAGCUAGCAACAACAUAAAACACAAAAAGAACUGUUGUGAUGCAGCCCUUAUAAGCGCUUGCAUUAAUAAUAGGCUCGAUUCUAAUCGAACCUUGGACCAAGCCCAAUAAAAUGGCUUGGACUCUCAUGGUAGACUUUCCACUCUUAAACCAUGAGAGUAUAAAUAUGAGUGGACUCUGAAGGUAGAGUUAGUUGAGUUUUAUUUUCAUCAAGAUGAUUCUCAACGUUAAUUCUUUCUUUCUUUCUUUUAUUUAUUUAUUUAUUUAUUUCUUUCUUUAUUUUCAUAGAUUCUAUAAUUCUUUCCAAUUUACAAUUAUCGAUUAUCCUUGGAUUGGGAUUAUCGCUCAAGCUUCAAUCGAUUCUCAAGGGAGCUUAAACCCUAAUCGAUCAAUACUGUUCACUGAGUUCUUUUGACACAAGUCUGGACGGAUUUCUACAAUCCGUUAAUUCUGAUUUCUAAGAACUGUUCAAGGCCUUCAUCAAGUGGUAUCAGAGUAGGAGGGAUUCGCGAUCUGCAGUGGCUAAGAACAUCAAGUUGCGAUUUGCGAUUUGCGAUUGGAGAUCUGCACACUUGCGAUUUGCGAUUUCAAGUUUUUUUUGUUUUGCGAUUUUUUUACCUGGACGGAAUUGCAUUUCGCGAUUUUGUGAGUUGCACUCAGACGGAUUUAUUUUCAGACAGAUUUGCAUUUCGCGAUUUUACGAUUUGCAUUCAGACAGAUUUUGCCAUUUGCAUUCAGAGGGAUUUAUUUCAGACGGAUGGAUUUAUUUCAGACGGAUUUGCUUUCAGACGGAUUUAUUUCAGACGUACGGAAUUAUUUCAGACGGAUUUUGCGAUUUUGAAGUAGUCCAGCACACGUGAAAAAAAAAAGAAAAAGAAAAUCCUUUGCGAUAUAUUUCAGUGAUUUGUUCUGGACGGAAUUGUGAAAACAAUAAAGGAUAACUGAUCUGUUAUGAAUCAGUUAUUCUUAAUAAGAAAUAAACUUGUAUAAAUUGAGAACAUGUAUUUGAAAAUAUAUCAUCCAGUUUGAUUCAAUCUACCAAACAUUCCAGUAUGGUAUCAGAGCAGGGUUUCUUGUAUUUGUGGGUGGAACCUUAGUAUCGUGGAUUUCUCGCAAGCAGAGUACUCUGGCCAGAUCAAGUACGGAAGCGGAAUAUCGCGCAAUCGCUGUAACUACCCAAGAAGUUGAAGCAGUGCGGUCAAUGCUAUUUGAGGUAGGAGUUUCAACACAGAAACCAAUCAAAAUACUCUCAGAUAACUUCGGUGCAACGUUUAUUUCAAAGAAUCCAAUCAGACAUUGCAAACUUAAACAUGUAGCAAUAGACCUACAGUUCGUAAGGGAGAAGACAGAAAGUGGGGAGAUUUCGGUGGAACACAUUCCCCGGACCAUCCAAUGGGCGGACGUAUUGACAAAACUUCUACCGGCAAAACAAUUUCUAAAUUUACAAACCAAGCUCGUUGGAAUAAAUCCAAGAGCUUAAGGGAGGGGGUAUAAAGGCUAACUGAUCUGUUAUGAAUCAGUUAUUCUUAAUCAUAGUUUUAAAAAGCGGAAAGCGCUCCCAAUUUCCAGGGAGCGCUUUUUUAGCUUUAACCGCUUUAGCGUCGUUUAAAGCGGUUAAAGCGGUUAAAGCUAUAUAAAGUUUAUAAUAUAGACUAAAGCGGUUAAAGCUUUAGCUGUUUAUAUAGCUAAGAUAAAUCUUUAGCUGUUUAUAAUAUAGACUAAAGCGGUUAAAGCUUUAGCUGUUUAUAUAGCUAAGAUAAAUCUUUAGCUGUUUAUAAUAUAGACUAAAGCGGUUAAAGCUUUAGCUGUUUAUAUAGCUAAGAUAAAUCUUUAGCUGUUUAUAAUUUAUAUAGCUGUAAGUUAGUGGACAGCCUGUAACUAGUUGUUACUAACAACUAGUGAAAAAAAUUAGGAGCGAUAUCGGAAGCUUUAAUUAGUGAAAAAAAGCGUUUGGCAAAGCGGUCCAAAAAAACCGCUUUGCCGCUUUAAACGCUUAAAGCGACGCUUAAGCGUCGCUUUUUAAUCACUGUUCUUAAUAAGAAAUAAACUUGUAUAAAUUGAGAACAUGUAUUUGAAAAUAAAUCAUCCAGUUUGAUUCAAUCUAUCAAACAUUCCAGUAAACAAAAUCAAGUGAUGGCCGAGAACGUCACACGAGAAGAGUUUGAGAGGUUGGCAAAAGCCCUAACCGAUUUGACAACCUUUGUUAGGGACGGUUUUCAAACAAUGCGACAGAAUUUGCAACCUAUUCAACCGCAUAGAGGAGCAGAUCCGACAGUGAAUGGACAGGCAGAACCGACAAUAAAUUUCAGAAGAAGAAACCCACCCAUAGCUAGGGAACGCUUGGAAGAACAGAUCCGUCAGGGGGGAAAUUUCAGGCAACAUGACAAUUUCAAACAGGAAGAAAAUUUCAGACGGGGAGGACUUUUUAAUAGACAGACUGAGGAAGAAUUUUCAGAGGAGGAAGAAGAUUUAUUACAGUACGAGAGAAGAAGAAAUAGGGGCCGUCGAGACUAUCCAAGAGGGGGAGCAUUACAAAGGUAUGAAGAGUACAAUGGAGGAAAUCAAAGAAAUGAAUUUGGGAAUUAUAGAUUAAGAAUGGAACUGCUUGAAUUCAAUGGGCAGUUACAUAUAGAAGAAUUUUUAGAUUGGAUUUCAGAAGUAGAAAGAUUCUUCGACUACAUGGAAAUUCCAGAUUCAAAAAAAGUGAAAUUAGUGGCACUAAAAUUUAAAAGUGGAGCUGCUGCGUGGUGGGAUCAGACCACCAUGAAUAGGGCUAGAUUCCAAAAAAGACCUAUAAAAACUUGGGACAAGUUGAAGAAAAUGCUGAAACAAAGAUUUCUUCCGGUGGAAUUUCAAACCAUUUUAUUUAUAAAAUAUCAGAAAUUCAGACAGGGACAGAGGUCAGUAGCUGAUUAUACAGAGGAGUUUCAUAGGUUGGGAGCAAGAAACAACCUUAAUGAAUCCGAAGAACAACAAAUGGUAAUGCAGCAACACAGUAGAUAGGAGAUCGGGUGAAGAAGAGAGACAGAUCUUCUUCACAUAGGUAACUUAACUAGAAGGAUGUAGUAUCAAGAUCGAUAAGCAAGUAGAGAGAGUAGAUCUAGAAUAGCCAAAAGUAGAAAAGAAGAAGAAGUAAUAAUAGAGAGGAGAGAAAUACCUUUAGUUGCACAAUAAUCAAAACUGAUUUCCUGCCAGCUGGUCCAUUGUAUUUAUACUCACACUAAUGGUAAUGGACAGUCCAUUUAGUGUGAGUGUAGACCUCUUAAUGAGAGGAAUGGUUGGUCUGACCUUGGUCAGACCCUUGAUGGACUAGAUUAGGAGAUCCAUCCCUACUGGACUUAUUCUUAGAGUUAGGAUCACUUAUAAGCUCUACAUUAUCCGUCCCUCCUUUAGGAUCAAUUGUCCCCAAUUGAAUCAGAGAAUUUGCUUGAGGGAAGUACUUUCUUAUGUCCGAAAUGUUGAAACUGUUUGAUAUGUUGUAGGAGCUUGGCAAGUCUACUAUGUAGGCAUUGUCAUUGAUUUUCUUCAAGAUCUUGAAAGGCCCAUAAUUUCUUGCUUUUAAUUUAGAAUAAGUUCCUGUUGAAAACCUUUCUUUGCUAAUAUGUACCAUUACCAGUUCCCCUACUAAGAAUUCCUGCUUCCUCCUUUUUUUAUCUGCCUCAGCCUUGUACUUCUCAUUAGCUUCUUUCAAAGCUUUCUCCACUGCUUUGUACACUUCCUGAUUUUUCUCUAUUAAAUUCUCCACAGUUUGCUGAUUUGAAGGGACGUCAUUUAUGUCAAUAGCCUGCUUUGGUUGAUGCCCAUAGGCUGCCAUAAAAGGACUCAUUCCUGUUGAUCUGUUUAUCAUGUUGUUAAAUGCGAAUUCUGCCUGAGGAAUACAUAGGUCCCAUUUUUUUAAAUUCUGUCCCACCAAUGUUCUAAGUAAGUUGCCCACAGAUCUGUUUACAACUUCUGUCUGCCCAUCAGAUUGAGGGUGGCAUGUUGUGCUGAAAUUCAGUUUGGUUCCAUAUCUUUCCCACAAUGUUUUCCAAAAGUGGGAUAGAAACUUUGUGUCCCUAUCAGAAACUAUAGAUCUUGGAACACCAUGUAGUCUGACUAUUUCCUUAAAAAAUAUCUGUGCUGUGUGUUCUGCAUCAUUGGACUUCUUACAUGGCAAGAAGUGAGCCAUUUUGGAAAACCUAUCCACUAUCACAAAAAUUGAAUCUAAACCAGCUUUAGUCUUGGGUAAUCCUAGGAUAAAAUCCAUUGAUAAAUCUACCCAAGGUUCUUUUGGGACUGGUAGAGGCAUAUACAACCCUGUAUUUUGUUUAGUCCCCUUGGACUCCUGACAUAUUUGACAGCUCUGAAUAUACUUUUCUGUUUGCUCUCUUAGCUUGGGCCAAUGAAAUCUUUUUUUUAAAUCAGCUACCACUUUAUCCCUUCCCAAAUGACCAGCUAACCCUCUAGAGUGUAGAGUGUAAAACAGUUGUUCUCUUAGUGGGUCUUUGGGUAUACAUAAUCUGUUUUUGUACAUGAGAUAGCCUUCUUGUAUGUUGAAAUUUUGAAAACUCUGUCCAUUCUGGCAGGCUGCCCAACUACUGCUGAAAUCCUCAUCUUUUGCAUACAAUUCCUUGAUUCUUUCAAAUUCAGUCACUUCAACCCUCAAUAUUGUUAAUAGUGUGCUUUUCCUACUUAGGGCAUCAGCCACCCUAUUAGUGAUUCCUGGUUUAUGUUUCAAUGUAAAAUGAAACCUUUGCAAAUAGGAUAUCCACCUAGCAUGCAUCCUAUUUGUGUUUUUUGAGCUAUUGACCUGUUUUAGGGCCAUGUGGUCAGUCUGAAUUACAAAUUCAUUUUGUAAUAAAUAGGGUUCCCAGACCUUGCAUGCUCUUACUACUGCAUAUAACUUUUGUUCAUAUGUGGUCCAGUUUCUUCUUCCCAAGCUUAAUUUUUCACUAUGAAAUGCUAUGGGGUGAUCAUCUUGACUUAGAACUGCCCCUACUCCCAUAAUGCUUGCAUCACACUCAAUCUGGAAUAUUUUACUGAAAUCUGGAAGAGCAAGUACUGGUGCUUUUUGCAGCUUAUUUUUCAACGUCUUAAAUGCUUUUUCUGCCUCAACUGUCCAACUAAAUUUACCUUUCUUUAGACAGUCAGUAAUGGGGGCUGCAAUGGUACUGAAAUUCCUUAUAAACCUUCUGUAGAAGGAGGCAAGACCAAGAAAACUUCUUAUCUCUGUAAGGUUUGAAGGUGUCAUCCAAUCAUUUAAUGCCUCAGUCUUUUUUUGAUCCACUUUUAGGCCCUGAUGGCCUCUUAUAUAGCCAAGAAAUGGUAGCUCAUGGACCAUGAACUCACAUUUUUCCAAAUUCAACUUCAAAUUGUUUGUUUCCAGCAAUUGUAACACUUUUUCAAUAUGUUUCAGAUGUUCCUCUUUUUUCUUGCUAAAUAUGAGCAUGUCAUCAAAGUAGACAACAACACACUCAUUGAUGAGAGGCUUUAGAACUUCAGACAUUAGCCUCAUAAAUGUAGAAGGGGCAUUAGACAUGCCAAAAGGCAUGACUAACCACUCAUAUAACCCCUUGCUUGUCUUGAAUGCUGUUUUCCACUCAUCCCCCUCCCUAAUUCUGAUCUGAUGGUACCCACUUUUCAGGUCCAUCUUAGUGAAAUAUUCAGCUCCUGUUAACACAUCUAAAAGUUCCUCUAGCCUUGGGAUAGGAAAUCUGUAUUUGAUAGAAAUUUUGUUGAUAGCUCUACUAUCAACACACAUUCUCCAAUCACCAUUUUUUUUUGGCACCAGCAAAGCAGGAACAGCACAUGGGUUUAUUGAUUUUCUGAUCAGUCCCUCUUGUAGUAAUUUCUCCACCUGUGUUUGCAGAAUUUCUGUUUCAGCAGGGCUAAGUUUGUAAUGUGGUAAAUUAGGAAGUGUUGCCCCCGGGAUUAGAUCAAUUCUGUGGUUGAUGCUUCUGUGAGCAGGUAAUUUUUUUUCAUUUUCUUUAGUCACACUAGAAAAUAUUUUCAGGAGGUCUUUUAUUACUGUUGGAAUGCAGACUUUCUUUUUUGUUUGUACCUCUUUUACCAAAACUGCCAACCCUUCCCCUUGAAUUCCCAAGGAUUUUUUGAAUUCUUUUUGUGACUCUACCAACAGAUUUGGUUUGUCACCUUGUUUUGUUUCAUUUUCAGAUAUUGGUAGUAAUGCUACCCUCAUGUCAUCUACCUUUAUGAUGUAUUGGUUUGUUCUUCCAAUGUGGUUCCCAUAUACAUCAUAUUGCCAAGGCCUCCCUAGCAAUAGAUGGGCAGCAUCUAUGUUUACUAUAUCACAUAUGACUUCCCCUUUGUACCUUCUUCCUAUAGAUAAAGACACUGUACAACACUUGUUCACACUAACAUUGUCUCCACUUUGUAUCCAUGAUACGCUGUAAGGCUUUGGGUGGUCUUCUACAUGGAGUCCCAAUCUUUUAACUGCUUUCCAUGAUAUCAGAUUAUCCGUACUGCCAUUGUCUAUGAUUAUGUCACAAACUAUUCCUUUCACAGUCCCUCUUGUUCUGAACAGGUUGUUUCUUUGUGACCCAACCUUUGUGUGUGGUACAUGGCAACUUCUGUGAACCAAUUCAGACAUUCUAGGGCCUUCAUCCGGUGGACAUUCAUCUUCAAAUUGAAAUUCAGAGUCUUCUUCAUCUAUAUCCAUAGGUUCUUUUCCUUUACUGUCCAGUAAAUGAGUUCCCGCUCUCUUGGGACAAGUGUUGGACUUGUGUCCCCACUCAUUGCAUCUGUAGCAUUUAAUAUUUGCUAGUCUUUGAUCUGCAGGUCUAUAUCCUUUAUUUUCUGUCCCAAAUUCAGUAGAUAUCCUUCUGUCCUCAGGUGUGGGUAGGAUUCCCUUAUCACUAGGUUGCACCAUUCUGCUUGAUGAAGAUCCAACUGUGAAUUUACUGAGUUUCUCAGCCCUCUGAUCCAACUGAUCAGCUACUCUAAUAGUUUCCAUUAGGGUGUAUUGAGGUUGCAAAAUAAAUUUCUCUUGAAAUUUGCCUUUGAGACCUUGAACAAAUCUUGCAAUUAGUUGUUCUUCAGUCUCACUGAGGUUGUUUCUAGCUGACAACCUAUGAAAUUCUUUAGCAUAUUCAGCAACACUUCUAUUACCUUGACAGCACUGGUGAUACUGUGUGUACAGAAUUCCUUCAAAGUCACUUGGUAGGAACCUUUGCUUGAGUAGUCUCUUAAGUUUAUCCCAACUUUGGACUGGUCUUUGUUGGAAUUUCCUUCUAUUUUGCACUGUCUGGUCCCACCAUGCUGAAGCUAACCCCUUAAACCUCAACACUACCAACUUAACUUGUUGGUCUUCGUCGAUGUCCAUAUAAUCAAAAAAAUGUUCUACUUCCGCUAUCCACUCAAGGAAUUCUUCGAUAUGAAGAGUUCCACUAAAUGUAGGGAUAUCCAACCUCAAUUUGUAUUGACCUCUGCUAUAGCCUUUUUGUUGACCCUCACAAAAAUCAUUUUCAUCGGACAAUUCCCUUCUAUUUCUUUGGUAUCUCUGUCUUCUUUGAUAUACAGCAUUCUGUGGAGCUUCUCCAAAGUCCAAGUCCUCUUCUAACAUAUCCUCGAACUGGUCUAGGGCUCCCCCCAGUCGGCGUUGAUAUGUGACAGUGGGAUUCUCGGCCGGCCGGCGACAGUAGACUUGAUGCUCCCUUUCCGGCGAACGUCGUUCCUGUCUCUGGGGAACUAUUUGUUCUCGAGGUUGCCUCUGAUAGGUCUGAAAUGGCACCUCUGGAGCUCUCCUCUGAUAAACCACUGGAACUCUGUUAGAUACCUCUGGCUGCUGUGGAUCUGGUGGCUCCGGUGAUUGUAUUGCCCUUCGCAGGUCCGCAAACCCCUCCUGCAUUGCGGUUGUCAGAUCCGCAAUGGCUUUUUGAGUGGCCUCCCACUCCUGUCGACUCACAUUGUUGUCUGCCAUGUUGCUUGCUACAAAAAAAAAUACUGAAAUCUACCGUCCACGCGAGGCUCUGAUACCACAUAAUGCAGCAACACAGUAGAUAGGAGAUCGGGUGAAGAAGAGAGACAGAUCUUCUUCACAUAGGUAACUUAACUAGAAGGAUGUAGUAUCAAGAUCGAUAAGCAAGUAGAGAGAGUAGAUCUAGAAUAGCCAAAAGUAGAAAAGAAGAAGAAGUAAUAAUAGAGAGGAGAGAAAUACCUUUAGUUGCACAAUAAUCAAAACUGAUCUCCUACCAGCUGGUCCAUUGUAUUUAUACUCAUACUAAUGGUAAUGGACAGUCCAUUUAGUGUGAGUGUAGACCUCUUAAUGAAAGGAAUAGUUGGUCUGACCUUGGUCAGACCCUUGAUGGACUAGAUUAGGAAAUUCAUCCCUACUAGACUUAUUCUUAGAAUUAGGAUCACUUAUAAGCUCUACAUUAAAUGGCGAGAUACAUUGGGGGAUUAAAAUCAGCACUUCAAGAAAAAGUCAUUUUACAGUCCCCAAUGUCACUUAUGAAGACUGUAAACAUCUCCGAACAACUAGAGAGACAAACAAACAAGUACUCAUCAUUUUCACCUGGAGCUUCAACUAGUAAACCUAUCUAUUCCAAGGACAAAGGAAUUCUGCCAACACCUGAAGGGAAAAAUACAGAUCUGAAUGAAAAAAAAUCAGGGGUCUCAGACCAAGUUUGGAGCACAAUAAGAUGUUAUAAAUACCAAGAAAUGGGCCACAAAGCUAAUAACUGCCCUAGGAGGGGAUCUGUAAAAUUCUGUGAAGGGUUGAGAGAGAAUGAAGAUAGCAUUAAUUCAGAUGAGUCCAGUGAGGCCGCAGAAGAGUAUGACCCCGAUGAAGGAUCAAGUCUAUCUUGCUUGAUCCAUAGAUCCUUUCACACUCCUAAAAUUUCUGACCAGAUUCAAAGGGCAAAUUUAUUUCGCACCAAAGGAACAGUUAAAGGGAAAGUUUGUCAGAUAAUAAUAGACAAUGGGAAUACGGACAACCUAAUAUCUGAGAAGGCAGCAAAAAAGUUAGAACUCAACCUUGAGGAACACCCUAAACCUUAUACAAUAGGAUGUAUCAAAAAUAGUGAGGGAGCAAAAAAUAGAUAUUUGUGCAAAGUCCCACUAUCCAUUGGCAAGAGGUACAACGAUACAGUAGUAUGUGAUGUAGUUGAUAUGGAUGCAACACACAUACUUUUGGGCAGACCGUGGCAAUAUGAUGUAAAUGUCACUCACCAUGGGAAAUUAAACACCCAUAUUUUUCAAGCUGAUGGUAGGAAGAUUGCCCUAUUACCACUUCCUCUUGAGUCGACUUGCAAAAAGGCUAAACACAAAUUUUCUACUACAACAGAGGUCUGAUUUUUCUGAAGAACAGAGAAAUGAAGAUAUGGGGUUAGCUCUAGUAAUAAAAAGUCUGGAAAAAGAAGAGGUUGAGUAAAAAGAACUACCUAAGGAAGUACAACAAAUUCUGAAGGAGUUUCCACUUAUCUCCUUAAAUAAUUCAGUAGUAUCACUACCACUUGAGAGAGAAAUUGACCACAGAAUAGACUUGAUUCCGGGAGCAUCUCUACCUAACCUGCCCCACUACAGAUUAGGACCUAAAGAGGCUGAAAUUCUUCAGAAUCAAGUCGAACAACUACUAGUAGACGGUCUGAUCAGAACGAGUUUAAGUCCUUGUGCCGUACCUGCACUCUUAGUCCCAAAGAAAAAUGGAGAGUGGAGGAUGUGUGUGGACAGCAGGGCGAUAAACAAAAUCACGGUGAAGUACAGAUUUCCUAUUCCAAGACUGAAUGAGCUGUUGGAAGCCUUGGCCGGAGCUAAAAUUUUUUCUAAAAUGGACCUAAAGAGUGGCUACCACAAAAUCAGAGUUAGAGAAGGGGAUCAAUGGAAAACGGCUUUUAAAACCAGGCAAGGAUUGUAUGAACGGAUGGUGAUGCCAUUUGGAUUGUCUAAUGCACCAUCAACUUUCAUGAGAUUGAUGACUGAGGUACUGAAACCAUUGUUGGGAAACUGCAUCGUGGUAUAUUUUGAUGACAUCUUAGUAUUUAGCAAAAGCAAAGAAGCCCACAUUAAAGAUGUAAAAUCAGUUUUCGGAUUAUUAGAGAAAAAUCAGCUAAAAUUAAAUCUGAAAAAGUGCGAAUUUUUUACGGAGGAACUGUGUUUUCUAACCACCUCUAAAAUUCUCAAUACAGAUGGAAUUCAAACCACCUCUAGGGUUCUAUUAGAGAAGAAUAGUGUUAGAUACUUUAAAACUUUGUUCAGUAAUCCAACCACCCAACGGUCGGCGGUUCCUGUCAUUUUUCUUAGAGUGGUUUCUGAAACUAUGAAUAGGUGGUUGCUUCAGGCUCCGUUAGAGGAAGAGGUAAGGGUCACACUGUUCUCCUUUAAUUCGGGGAAAUUCCCUGGGCCGGAUGGUUUCACCUCUGAAUUUUUCAAAAAAAAUUGGAGAGAUCUUAAAGGCCUAGUAAUGGAGUGUGUAAGGCAAUUCUUCAAAGGCAAACCUUUGUUGAAGUCUGCUAACCAUACUUUCAUCACGCUUGUGCCCAAAACAAACACGGCCUAAGAUGUGUCGGAUUUCAGGCCGAUAUCAUGUGUCAAUUUGAUCUACAAGCUAAUGACAAAAAUAUUGGCAGAUAGGAUCAGUAAGGUCUCUAGUGAACUCAUCUCUCCAAACCAAGCAGCUUUCAUUCAAGGAAGGCUUAUCUCGGAUAAUACCAUAGUUCAAAAAGCGGAAAAGCGGUCAGCUUUUCCAUUGACCGCUUUUUCAGCUUUGAGCGCUUUAGCGCGCUUAAAGCUGAAAAAGCGGUAGUGGCAUUAUUGUAAAUAAUGCUAAUUUUUUAAAAAAUAUAUAUAAAAUAUAUAUAAACCUGUAAUUAUUCAAGACAUCAUCCAAAUUAUUUGAAAAACAUUUACAAGUCAUAUAACCUAAUCAUCUAGACGUGCAACAAUAUCUAUAUUAUCUCUUAAAAUUUCUUCCAUUUCAUUCGUGCAAUGAUGAAAUUGGGAUUCAGUUCCCAUAUCUCUAGGGUUUUGGAAGAAAUAGAAGUGAGAGUGAUAAAGGAAAUUAGGGUUUUAUUAGAAGGGUAUUGGGUUUAUAUAGUUAGAUAGAAAUUGGAGGGGUAGGAAGGGAAAUUAAAAUAGUUUAAGUUAUUUUACAUGGGUAAUGGGUUGCCCCAACCCAAUAACCCAACCCGACCCGACCCGAUAACCCAACUAAAAAAAGCGUUUUACAAAGCGGUCCUGGAGGACCGCUUUGACGCUUUAAGCUAAAAAAGCGACGCUUAAAGCGUCGCUUUUUGAACUAUGAUAUAUAUAACUAUAUAUGACCCUAUAAUAUGUUUUAUUAAUGUUUAGUCCAUUAGUUAACUGUAUUGUAUUGUGUUAUGUUAGUGGUAAUCAUGUCUUAUUUAGUGGGGUUAGUGAACCUUGAGGAGUUAUUGUAUGAGUUGGGUUCUCUAAGUUAUUUCUUAAUUUUCUUGUUUAUUUUCUUUAAGUUCUAGUCAGAUUCUCUUCUUUUGAUCUUUCGAGAAUCUCGGUUGUAUCAGUUACACUAUGUGCACCUCUAUUUGGCCAAAGUUUCAUUACUAUUUAAACUACUGAUUUAUAAAUUGUUCUUCUUCCUCAUGGAUUCUAUCACAUCUCUCCACACAUGCCACAGUGCCAUCUCUAAGAUCAGCAAAAGCAGGUCCCAAAAUGCUAUUUUCCAGUUUCCUGUGCAAAAUAGUUGGAUUAAGACACUAUUUUCCCAACUUUCCUAGAUUAUUGGCAUUUGGAGAAGAGAUGAUCAAGACUCGCACUUUCUCUUCUGCAUAGCAAACACUAUACUUCCUCCUCAUCUUUCUAUCUGCUGGUGUGGUACCUGGUUGGGGGCUUUCCCUAUCUCUCCAUAAAAAGUGAAUACUACUUGUGCGUCACACUGGCCAAUAAACGUCAGGCAUAUCUGUUUAAUAGGUGUUUUCCCUGAUACGACCUCAAAUGGUCCAACCGUCCAAUACCAAUCUAAGUUGGUAUCCUGACAAUCCUGUACAUGUCUUUAUUUAUAUUGUGAUCCAAUCAUAAACAUCAACAGUUUAUUAUGGGAUCAUUUCAUUAAUAACCUAACUACUAUAUAGCUGAGGCAUAUUUAUUGUAAGAUAUAUCACAACCGAAAUAGGCAUUUCUUUUAGCCGGACCACGUUAAAGUCUCAUGUCUCCUUUCAUAAUAUUGCUUGCUUGAUUAAUUUUUCGUAGAUCUAAAUUAUAAGCUAGAUCGGAUUUUACAGUUGCGUUGAAUUACAGAUUGAUCUCCAUCAAUCUGUUUGUUGAAGCAUAAUCAGAUUUGAAUAUCUGAACAGAAAAGGUAUUCUAGGUUAACAAAGAUACCGAUAUCAAAAAUCAAAAUCAUCAUGACCAAAUUUCCAAUUUACUAGUUUCAUAGAUACGAAAAAAUAAUACCUGAGGAAUAUUAAAUGCAAUCACGAGCAAGGGAAGUGAUAAAAUAUCCAAAUAGAACUUGUAGUACUGCCAGAAAAAGAUGCAACUAGUCACUCUUCUGUAAUCAACAAUUUAAAUAUAUGAACUACGUAUCAGAAUAUAGUUUAUAAUUUGUAGAAAAGAAAUUACAUGAAGGAAAAUACAUACAACUACGACAUGCGUAUGUCAUGUAUGUAUAUACAAGUAAUACAACUGGGUGUGUCAUGUACUCAUGUGUGUAUGACUUUUAACCGGUGAAAUAAAAUAUGGACAUCGACUUACUUUAGCAAAUACACCAAUUAAACCAGGCAUGUCAGAAGCUUUAAAAUUCCUGAAUGAAAUCUGAAAACACUCAAAACAGUUAAUAGCAUCACCGACUCGAUUUUUUGGUAAAAAUGGAUAUAUUAAAAAAAAAUUGUAACUUAUAAUCUCUUAAAAUGGUUGAAAGAUAUUAAUGAAGUAUUAAAGCCUACAAGCUCUUAAAAUGGUUGGGUGAUUUAGCAAUAAAUCAAUAAUAACCCCACCAUUCAAGUAUGUAAAGUAAAUUAUGGUCUAGCCACCUUUUUUUCCUUUGUGCAUGAUUUUGACAGGUCAUUCAAACUUUCAAAGAACAAACCAUAUAUUGCAUGCAUCAAUAAUUCAAUAUUAAGCAACCCACAUCCAUGAUUUACUUGGCAGAAACAAUUCUUCACGUAACAAGGAAUACUUGUACAGAAGUAAGUAUUUAACUUCACAUGAUUUAUAUAACUGCUUAGAUAUUUAUCAUAAAUUACGGAAUUUCUUUCAUAUUUAUCAUAACAGAUGAUAUCUCUAAAUAUUUAAUAUAUGAAUCCAACGUGUCAUUAGCUUCCCAAAAUAAAGGAAUAAGAGGGAAGUAUUCACAAAUACCUGAAUAUUCACAAAAUGCAAACCAGCAAUCAAUACAGGGAAAAUGGGACCACAAGCACCAUGAGAAAAAUCGGUUAAAUUAUGAAACCACAAAGCACCACCCUGAAAGUAAAUAAAUAUUACAUAUAUUUUUUAUUAUUGUCCAAUUUUAUCUAAGAGACCAAAAUAUAAAAGGAACUCGACCACAAAAAUGACUGUCCAACACUCCAACCCUAGUUUAGAGAGCGAUCUUGAAAUUGAUAGAAUAGAAUAUAAGAUCGGAAUCCAUGUGGAAGAGGGAGGAAAUACCUGAAAAUAAGUAAUCCUGUCAUUCAAACUCUUUAUUAUACUCACAUUUCAAACAAGUGGUAGUUGAAGACAUGAGUGGGAAAUUUUGUUAAUUGAGGACACGAUACCCUUCUUUGAUCAUUUGCCCAUCUGAUUUUUCCAUGAUUUAAGCAACUCCUUAGUGGGAACUGAGAAAUUUGAACUAGAACUAAAUCUCACACAAUUAAAAAGAGAUUAGAUGACGUAGUUAAUGGUUUUAAAGAUAAUGAACAUUAGGCUCAUUAACUAAAUCCUUAUUGAACUCGAUUCCUUGUUCUCCACUAGCUUGGAAUCGAGUAUAAAAGGAUAAUGAACACUCUGAGGACGACAAAUUAUUUUGAUAAACAUUUUCCCAAGGUAUUUCUUCUUCUUGAUAUCUCUCUCUUAUUCUUAUUCUAUUCUCGUUAUUCACUGGUGGAUCCAGUACACUUAUGCAUCGAUUGAUCUUCAUUGGAUCAAUUCAUUCAAUUGAUUAUUAAAGUAUUGAGUCACAUCAUUAGAAGAAAUUUAAGACAUGGAGAUUUAUAUGGUUCGGUCAUCGAUAAGAUUAAACCUGGAUCUGCCCAAUAAUUAGGGCAGGGCAUGAGGUUUGACCGACCUAAACCCAUCCUAACCAGAAAGCUGAAUUAAUAGUUUUCCUCCAGUAGGCUAGCGUUUACUCUUAAAUUUACAAUUUCUGCCUAACAUCUAUGACAUGAUCUGGUCAUUGAUCCCUGAUACAAACUAAUACAAAAAUUGAUACAAACUAAAAUCAUGAAAGAGUAAGGUUUCACAUAGUCUUACACUAUCAAACCCUGGAUGACCAUCCAAACACAUUCUUCGAACGCUUGUCAUCCAUAUCAAGAAACAUGGAAACUGUAAAAAAAUAUAAUCAUUUACCACAUAUCAAAAGGUUGUGCAUCAAGACUUCAAGAAUGCUGAAUAGAAAAGUGCAUGUAUAUGUUCUAAAUAAAAAAUUUAAAUAACAAUCAAGCUGUCAAUAUUAAAUGACCAAUUUAAUAGAAAGGAAUCAAAGAAUAGAUUUCAAGAAAAUAGGAUGGCUUCUGGAGCUUGGAAAUAGAGCUGGCCAGCGCUAUAUAGAGGUGAAAUCGCAAAAUCUGGAAGAGAUAUUGCAAUUCCAGACCUAUAGGUUUUUAAAACUUAAUGUUUUAAACUGGGUACCAGGACGAAUCCUUGCCCAAAUCCGCCCAGAAACCUGGUUGAAAUUAGAAAUAGCACCAGUAGAUGGCGCUUUUAGUGUGCUAUAGCACACGCUACUUAAACAAUGAUCAUAAGAGCUGUUAGAAUGUGGAGACGUUUUUUGGAAGGGCAUUAAUUAUAAUUAGAAUUAAUGUAGGCCUUUUACGAGCCAUUAGAAUUAAAUAAGUUUAAUUCUGUUAAAUGGGCUUUAAGCCUUGUAAUGGGUAUUAGGGUUGCAAACACAAAACGACAACCCUAAUCUCCCAUAUAAGUAUCUUAUAAUGACUUGUACUCUUGGUGAGAGAAAAAGAAGAAGAACGGAGGCACCACCGUGGACGUAGGCACAUUGCUGAACCACGUAAAUUCUGUGUGUUUUUUGCUCGGUUUUCUCAGUUCGAUUUAGGCAUCGAUCCUAUCAAGAGCUUCUUAUGUUAAGACAGCCUCUGAAUGAAUCUAUUCUCAUUAAGUAGGCAUAAAAGAGAUAUAUUAGAAACAGAAUAAACCAAGCAUUGGCUCCAUAUUUUGGAAAUCCUUGAUGCCUGCAAAGGAAGAUAUAAACUCGUGGUUGAGGUGUAGAGAGCAAACUACAAUAUCGCAUGAAAGAUGGGCUCUCCAUUAAGGAACCUAGGGUCCAUAGAAGAAGCACUUGGAGUAAGAAGCCGCUAGGACCCACUAGCUGAGGGUAUGUGGUCUUACAUGCCAACUAAAUUCUCCAUAAUAUUAUGGAGAAUUAAAUGGAAACACCUAAAUACUUUCCAAAGACUUAGGGAAUGAGGAAUAUAGACACAAAUAACCAGACUACUAUGCAACAACCAGGAUGAGACUAAAGCCCACCUCUUUUUCAACUGCCCAUACUCAAGAACUGUCUUCAUUGCAAUAGCAAAACCCCUAAAAAAUUCAUUUUGGAAAGUAGCAAACUCACCUACUCCCACCCAGACUUGGUCUGACAUCAAAAUGGAGGAUCUCAUUGAAGCUUACCAGAAAUUCGCCUAUAAAUCCCCAAGUUGGAGCCUGCUUUGGAGCUCAAUAGAAUGUAUUGCUUCAUAGUUCAUACAAUCACACCUCUGUUCCAAAAGGAACAGGAGGCUCAAGAAGCACAUCUUCAGACAUCCAGAAAUUCUAACCAUGGCAAUUAUUCAGGACAUCAGUGAUCAGUCUCUCCUUUAAAUAAGAAGAUUUUGAGAAGGCUUGUUGUUCCCAAUUGGAGAUGUUAUAUAUGAAAGUGUAACUGUCGAUGGGUCUUUAACAGUUAUCUCCAUUUUGUAUUAAGGGGAUUGUCUUUUAUUUUAUAAUGAAAAAAUUAUUUUUAUAAAAAAAUAUCCUUGGCAAAAAAUAAACUCCUUGCAUUCAAGGUAGUGAUGAAAAGGUAAAAGUGUAAAACCCAUUGGUAACAUACCAGAGCUUAUUAGUUAUCACCAGGUACAUUCGAAAUAAAGAAGUAUCUAGCAAGAGUGAACUCAUAACCUCAUGCAUGUAAACUUAUAAUUUCUUUAAAAAAACUUGAACUAUCCUUUGCUUUAAAAAAAAUCUUGAACUAUCCUUUACUUUCAAAAAAAAACUUGAACUAUCCCCUUUGAAGGAAACGACACAACUUACUACUACUUUCGAUGACCAUAAAGAGAAAAUUGGAAAUAUUAAAAUCAACAGAAUAAUAAUAAUACCUAACGUGGAGUCGUGGGAUAAUAGAAAUAUUAAAAUGGGAAAGGUGCACAAAUUUAAUACCUGGACAGAAAAAAAUGCAAAGCUCCACAAAUAAGAAGGACAACGAAGCUCUCUUCUUUUCCUUCUAUGGAGUGUAAAUUGUUCACGGAAAGUAAUUCCUGAUGAAGGUGGUGGGAAAGGAGGGGGCACUUUGAAAAAUAGUGUGAGUUAGAUUUUGAUUAAAAAUAAUUUACCGAGGAGAAAGGACAAAUGUAUCUAUCUCUUGAAAUUUGAAAACAUCAAACAUAAACUAAGGUAACAUUUUGAAUAUUACAAAUUCCUACUUAUAAAACAAGACUGUAGUCUCUAUAUUUUAUUUCAAAUUGGAUGGACAAUGUGUAUUUUUAACAAAGGGAUCCGCAACAGAUGCCAUAUAACUAUUUAGGCAAUUUUACGGGUUGAGGGAAGGAUAGAUAGCUACCAUGUAAAUUGGGUCAGAUCCGUAUCUCUUUUUUUAUAAAAGGUAGAUUUUCAUUAGAAAUAGUGACUCAAUCCUUUCCUCUUGGAUAAGGGGGAGAUACAUUAAGGGACGGGGACUGAAUAAAUUUUACAUCAAUCCUCUUGGGUAAGGGGGAGAUACAUUCCUCGCCUAGAAGAGACACCAUCAUGUGGAAAUCAAUCCUUAAGUAUAAGGAUGAGGUAUGGAAGUUGACGGAUUUUGGCCAUAAUUACAUUCUUAACCUUACUGAACUAAAACAAGGGAGUUGUUUCCAAAAAAUUUGUAAAGCAAUAGCCCCUCCUAGACAGCUUGACCCCCUGGCCAGUGGAAUUUGGACCAGAAAACCUACUAAAUUAUUUUAAUUCAUAUGGAGACUGAAGUGGGAAUUUGUGCCAUCUUUCUACGUCUUAGGAGGCUGAAGGAUUCCUGUCUCACCUCUUUGUGUACUCUGCGAUGAGGAGUCUGAGACUAUUAGUCAUUUAUUCUUUAACUACCCAUACUCCAGACACACUCUUAUAUACUGUUCUGACAUAACUAAUCAUAAUCAUAUUAUAUGGAGAUAUAACAAUUUGCAGGUACCUCGUGAAGAUGAUAUCAGAUUGGAGGAGAUAAUUGAUAGCAUCCAAUCCCUAAGGAAAGGCUCCAAUUGCUGGAGGCUUCUCUAGACUGUGCUUGAAGACUUGGAGAAGUUACUUGGCAGUUGUGGCAGGAAAGGAAUAAAAGGUGGAGAACUAGAGUUUUCAGACCUGUGAAAGUGGUAGUUAUGGAGAUUCUCAAGAACUGUAAAAUAUGUUUUGAUGUGAAGGCUAACCUUCUAAACAUAGGAAUUGUGGAAACCUCAACUAUUUCACCAUGGUUGAGCCAAUAUGUGUUGUUUCUGCUCUUAGAGGACUUUGUCCACCACUGAGCGAUGCUAGUCUGUUAAUGGGAUUUGCAUUUCUAUCUUUGUUUAUAUUGAAAAACUGGGCAAGGCCAACUUCAUUUCUAAUGAAAUUUUAUCUUCAUAAAAAAAAUACUGGAAAACCUUUUUGCACGGGUAAAUUUUGUUUUUUCAUUAAAGAAACAAGUAGACAACUAAGGUUAACAAUAAGUAAUUAAAUUACAACUAAGCUCUAGCCUCUAUGGCUACUUAUAUUACUCCAUAGCUAUAUAUCAGUAAUAUCACUAAGAAACUAAGGAGUACUUCCAUGGAAUUAAAGGGAUGAUUUCUUUAUAAUUCAGUUGCUCUUUAAUCAUUCUAGAGUUAACAUUACCGAACAAAAUUAACUAAUAUUUAUUAAUGGAUAGGAUUACUAAAAUCGCAAGGACCAAGCCACAAUUGGUCCCUUGAUACACAUAUAUAUACUGAUACAUACACAUAACACAUGUAAUAGAAAGGGUUCAUUGUUAUUAUCUAAUCCUUGCUUAUGAGCAUCUCUUACCUUUUUUCUUCCUCCCACUAUCUAAAUCUCUCUCUAUCCUUCCGGUUAUCAUAUAUUACAUUUAUCAUUGCCUAAUUUACAAACUUGAUAGAAUUUUGUUCAAUGAUACCGAGAUUAAUGUUUGACUUUGUAAGGGUGGAUUGGUAUGGUCCAAGUGCUAUCAUAAUUAUCAAUGACAAAAAUACAAUAAAAAUGAACCGAUAACAUAAUGCUCACAUUUAGGGAAAAACUCCGAAAGUCUUCCCAUCUUCUUCAAUUGCAAAAUGAGGACGGGCAUUAGAACAACCCGGAGGGCCAGAGUAGACGUGGCUAUCACAAUCCACCUGCAAACCAUUCAAUCAAACAAACAAAAACAUCAUUGCACAUCUGAAUUCUGAACGGUAAUAAAUAAUUACUAUUUCCCCGAGUACAACUCUCACUCUCUCGAUCUCUCAAAAAUAUAUUGAUAAACUAAAUCAUACAGAAACAUGUGUAGUAACAAAUUUCAAGUGCUCACCACGGAAGACCAGUGACAUCAUGACAUCCAUCGAGAGCUGAAAUUAAUCCGCGAACAGGAGCAUAAAAAAAUUUAUCGUCCAUAACAGAAAUCACGUCACCAUCCGCUCCAAGAUCAGGAACACCAACGAAUAAUCCAUCUCCUUCGAGAUGAACUUCGCCACUCUUGUCCAAUUGGGAAUCGUGCGAUGACGCGCCCCACGAGAACGUCCGGAAUGGAAUUCCAAUGUAGGGGGAGGAGGAGAAAUAAGAAGGAUUAUAAAUAGUGGAAGGGGUUACAUUGAUGUUAGAGAGAGUGAAUCGAGGAUAGAAUCGACCGUGGAAGAGAUUGCACCGGAGACGCCGGGCGGCGAGGAUGACCGCAACAGACAUCUAGCGGGGACAAGGAAGUGAAUUAAAAAUUCCACACAUACCGCAAUCGAUUAUAUAUUUCUGCAAAUUAACUCACUCGAAAGGUUAUUUCUGCAAAACAUACUAUUUUUAUUUUUAAUUAACAAAAUUAUCCUUCUAAUUUAUAAAAUAUAUGCAAUUAUCUUAAUAGUAUUAAGUACAUGUUUUUUUAUAAGUUAUAUAUAAGUAAAUAAAAAUAAAAAUAUAUAUAAUACGACUUGAACCCUAAACCUUUAAGGUAGCCGUGUGACAGUUGCCAACUAUGUUAAUGUUUAAGUACAUGGAUUUUAAUGCCAAGCUCUGAAUCACCAAACUAGACUUCUAGAGAAGCGAGUGCAAGCAAUCUUCAGAGAUCUUCUCUACCAAAUUCCUUAGGUUUGUCGGUUCUAGAGGUGAUUCUCGCUUAGCGAGGAACGCUUGGAUAACGGAACACAAGGGCAUGAGGAUAGGUAUCGUGUGUUUCCGACGAACUUUAUUGACUUUAGAGUUUAGACCAAACCCUGGGGAUCAGUACCGAUCAACUAGGAUACCGUCCAUCUACGUUCAACCUUAUUAUGAGUUCAAUCUCUUUGAACGUGCGUAUUUGACCCUUGCUUUGCAGGGGAAAGAUCCUUGAGGCCCGCUCAGUAGCAUCAGCCGUCCUUAGAGCCGCUAAGGACCAGAUAUGGGCAAUGGGUUAUGGGAGGAGACUCGGAAAGCCGUUUUCAAGUGCCUGGUUGGACCAAUGGAUUGACAUGGCCGAGGUUCGAAGGACAAAGUAGAAAUUUAGGGACAGUCCAACCAUGUAACAUCGAAGGCAGUCUGAGGUAUAUUCUCACUAUAGUAUGGGUAGUAAGUAACAUGCGAUUUUAACGAGAUUAGAGUCCAGUCAAAAAUGGAGGAACAAGGGGUCCAUUUCGAUGAAGAAGGGGCAAAAGCUUUUAACGACAUGAUUUCCAGAAACGAAUUAAAGGAGGAUUGAGAACCUAAUCAUAACCAGAUUCGACGGAACAAAGUAACGUUGACUCACUGGUCUCAUGAACUAUUUAUUAGUCCUUGAAAAAUGAAAAGAAUGUGCGAAUUUGUAUUAUUUUACCAGUGUAGUUAGGGUGUCAAGUAAAGCUCGGCUCAGACUCGGGCUCGCGAGCCCAACGAGCCGAGUCCGAGCCUAAAGCUCGUUAAGCUCGAUAGGCUCGAUAAGAAGUAUAAAAAAUAUUAUAUUUAUAAAGAAUGGAGAUACAACACAGAUGGUAAAACGUUUGUUUAACAUGCGAGAGGUCACGGGUUUGAUCCCCCAUGUCUCCAAAUUAUUUCUUUUAACCUGCAGGUUAAGUCGAGCCCAAACUCGCUAAAGAGUUAUUCAGGCUUGACUCGUUUUAAAAAUUGUCAGGUUCGAACCUUGCUCUAUAAGCAAAAACUCGGCUCGUUUGACACCCUAAGCGUAGUGUAAUUCAAAAGUUCAAAAAUCAAAACAUCUAUAAAAAUCAACUACAAGUUUUUUUGAAUUUAAAUUAUCGAAUAAAAUAAGAUAUUAUUUGUUAAAAUCCAUUAUCAUUUCAAAACACAGUCAAAUUAUAAGUUAAAAUAAAUAAAUAAAUCAAAAUGUGACUAUCUCUAUAAUCAAAAGUGAUAUUGUUCUUGUUUUCUAGUCUUUACUCAACAAAGAACUUAAACAGAUAAAGAACAUUUACAGAAAAAGAAAAAAAUUAGCUAUUAUCAAUUACCUAAAUCAAGUGAGAUGAUGUAUUUUAGUAAUCAAAAGUGGUCGCAAACGACCAAACCACAAGGGAAUUUCAUAAUUGAAAAUAACCCUUCAAAUCUUCAAUCAAUGGGGUUAGGAAGAAGAGUGGGAAAACUUUCUGCAUCAACAGUAGGAAAUUUUAAAUCAAGAAUCAAAAUUAACAUAAAGAAAAAAAGGAAAAAGGGAUUAACAAUCUUUUCUAAAGAGAGUAUUUAUUUCAAGAGAAACCAGGAAUUUCUCCUGGAGAAGGAGCCAGUUCAUUUGCGGCAAACCUUCCCUCAUCAUAGAAUAAUGCUCGGACAACCCGUCCACCAAAGAAACGACUGUCCAGAUCGAUUAGUGCUUUGGUUGUUUCUUCAGACCUUUCAAACUGCACGAAUAUUCUGACGGCUUCCUCUGCAGGGAAGUUUGGCUCUGUGAUCUCGAAUAUCAAGACCCGUGUCACUGUACCGUAUUUUGCACAUUCUGACGCUACCUCAUCUUCCAGUUCAUCGUCAACUUCACCUGGUCCAACCUGCAAUGGAAAUACAUGUAUUUGAAGAAUAAUCAAUUCAAGUUCCCAAGUAUUAAAUAUUUAAGCUGAGCUUAAACAAUUGAAAACAUAUCAAGUUUUCAAUGACAAUCCAUAAUGAUAAAUUCCGAGCAUCCAUUAAUUUGCUUCUACAGAAAAAUAUAGCAUAGAAUGUGUGCAUAUUUUUAUGAGGUUUUAGUUGGAAACUAGACAGGAAACAAAGAAAGAAGCAAACCCGUGAAUGACAUACCAAAGUAUAUAACAUAUCAUGGUCAGUAAUAUAAAUAUUACAUAUCAUAUUAUUACUAAGUAAAUUCAUAGUUAGCAAGCCGGUGUUCAUGGAAUUUGAAACCCAACUAUCUUUAUUUAACUCAUAGUUUUCCAGAAAAUCAUGCGGGCCAGCACCUUCAAGCGAUCAGCCUUCAGACGCUGGCUGGGUUAAGCGGAUCUGGUUGGAUCCGUUUAACCCAUGUAAAACCUUGAUUGAAGUUAAUUAAGUGGUCGCGGAAAUCACUAAAAGGUUUCAUGCGAAUAUAAACAGAUAGGCAUUCGAAAUUAAGACAGUGAGCUGAACUAUUUUCUCAAUUUGCAUACAAAUAAGACUUGGGAUUUCGCUAAGAUCAUAUAAAAAUUAAAAAUAGUUUAAAAAUGAUUAAAUUAAGGCAGCAAAUAAAGUCAUACUAUUGAUUAUAAAUUACCUUAUAUCUGCCAGCAAUCAAGAUUGGUUAUUGGAAUAAACAACAACAUAAGCACAAAAAAUGUUGAAAAGCACUGGUGAUAUGGUUAAAUACAAAUACUGAUGAUAUGUUUUGGAAACAAAUAAAGUGAAGUUAUUAAUAGAGAGAGUUUGCAACCUUGCAUGAUGCAAAAAAAGUAUAGCAAAGAAAAGUGGCAGCAAUGUAGAAGUAGAAUACCAUGUUGCGAAGAAGAAGAACGCGAGUUGGAGUGCCAUUGAAGCUAACACUCUUGGGUUUCUUGGUUUCAGAUUUGGCAGAAUCACUGGCAUUCACAAUGACACCAGCUCUUCUAUCAGUUUUCUUUGCCAUCAAUGGUGUCGUAAUGCCCUGUUCUUGCUUUCCAAGACCCUGUCCCUUUUUCCAGCCCAUCUUCGCCAUCAUCCUCUGUGCCGCAGUCAUCUGCCCACCAGCUCCAACGCCCAACCCACCUGAAGCAGAUUUUCCAAUGCUAAAUCCUUCCCCAGUUGGAGGUGGUGAAGGCGACCUCGGAGGAACUCCCCCUCCACUCAUAGCCGCUCUCCUCUUCCAAGCUUCUUCCCCCGAGAUGUUCAAUGCUGAUGUUCUAGUUUCGUAAUCUCUACUUCUUUCCCUUUCAGCAGCUUCACGUUGCUCCUUUUCCCUUUCCUCCUCCUCUCUCCUCCGUCUCUCCAAAUCACGCUUCAUCUCCGCCUCCAACAACUUCCGUUUCUUCUCCCUCCUAUAAUCCUCAUAGUCGUUCGGCCUCGCUGGAUCAUAUUCGUUGUUAACCGUCGUUGGUACGCCAACAAGUGCCGGUUGAAAAGAUGAAGUUUUAACUCCAGUAGCCACUUCAUCAUGCAGAUUUGCAAUUGGUAUUACAGAGGAAGAUGUCGGUUUCGAAUGCGACGAAGAUGACGACGAGGUUUGAGCUCUACGCAAUACGGAAGGUGGAGGUGUGAAUAGAGUAGUAGGUUUGCGGAGAGCGGAAGGUGCCAUUUUAGCACUGUUUGACCACACAGGAGCGUUCCGAGCGGCACUUCCGCUUUUUUCUUCAUCGUCUGUAGAAGGUGGGGGUAGGUCGCCGUAUAAUCCCCCGAGCAUCUUUGUGAAUUCCAAGAGAUCAAAAUUAGGGGAAGAUUGAUUGUUGCCUGUUGGGAAAGAAUCAGAGUAACCCUAGAUUGACUGCAAUUCUGCGAACGAUGGUAAAUUACAGAAUGGUCCUUGGGUCAAAAAUUAGUUCUAUCACGAAGAGAAAUAUUGCAAAAAACCCAGUGACAACUGACAGUGAUCGGUCCUGACUCGGUGACUCCUGAGGUUCAAACUUUAAACCCUAAAGCGAUCUCUCCGUAAAAGGGCGCGGUGAGUAGAGAACCAGAGAUUUGGUGUAAACGACAUGUUCUUCCGUAGUUUGGCGUUGAUGCGCCUCCUCUCCGGCGCUAACGGCAUCCAAACAGUCCAUAGAAUCUCCGCACUUUCUCCGAAGGUAUUUGCAAAGUUCGAGUUCAGUUCACUCAUCUUUUUUUCUUCCAUUUCUUAUUAACUUGAUCUGUUUCGUUGCAGAGUUGCAGACCAACGGUGCUUUCAGAAUAUAUUAUCCAAGUUCGCACCUUUUCUGCCAAAGGUAACGAAUGUUUCUUCUUUGGCCUGUGUUUUGAAUCCAGAUUGUUAUUGCUCUUUUCAUGAAUCCAUUUUGGGUUUGAUCCUUAGGGAAAAAAAAGUCCAAGUCAGAGUGUGAUGACUCCAGCGAGGAGACCUUGUCUAAGAAAGAUCAAGCAUUGUUGCAUGCGUUGGAUGAGAUUAACAGUGCAUUUGGAAAAGGGUCUAUCAUGUGGCUUGGUCGUGAUGCAGCAACACGAGAGGUUCCUAUUAUUUCAACCGGGUCGUUUGCUUUAGAUAUAGCUUUGGGGAUUGGAGGACUCCCAAAGGUAUAUUAAAAAAAAAAAUCAUAUGCCUAGUUAUUUCAAUAGAUUACCAUAGUGUUCAUACCAUUUUCAUUUGUGAUUUUAAAUUUUGUAGGGACGUGUUGUGGAAAUUUAUGGUCCAGAAGCUUCUGGCAAAACUACAUUAGGUCUUCAUGUCAUUGCUGAAGCACAGAAGUCAGGAGGUUGUUUCCUUUUGUUGGAUGUACAUAAAAUUAAAUUCUUCAUAUUCAAUUAGGAUGGAAAGAUUGAUCACUACUUGAACAUUUUACUCACAUUUUUUCCUUCCUAUUGUUUUACAUCUGUGGCUAUUAUUUGACCAAAUGUUUGUCAAUUUUUGUGUUUCUGUUUUGAUUAUUUUUUAUACAGGUCUGUUUUGAUUAUUUUUUAUACAGGUCAAUGUCUUUUUGUGGAUGCUGAACAUUCCCUUGAUCCGUCAUUGGCCGAGGCUAUUGGUGUGAAAACUGAAAAAUUGCUCAUUUCUCAGCCGGAUUGUGGUGAGCACGCACUUAGUCUUGUAGACACUAUGAUCCGAAGUGGUGCUGUUGAUGUUGUAGUAGUAGACAGUGUAAGUUUUUAAUCUACCAAAUACCAAUCUUCAGAAAAAAGCCCUAAAAUUCUAAAAAAAUGUGCAUAAUUCAAGAUUUCUCAAAGUUUACUAACUUAUACAUUCUUCCAAAUCUUGGGUUGCCUUUGAUAGCUUAAUCUUCAUAGUUCAACUUUUUCACUAACCUGCAAGAGCAUGGCAUACAGGUAGCUGCUCUUGUUCCUAAAAAUGAACUUGACGGUGAGAUGGGAGACGCACAUGUGGCUCUUCAAGCAAGAUUAAUGAGUCAAGCUCUUAGAAAAUUGAGUCAUUCUCUAUCACUGUCCCAGACGAUCUUGAUAUUCACCAAUCAGGUAUGCCUCGACAACUAUCACAGAAUAUAAUCAAUAAUUAAUUAUUUAUUUUCCUCAUAAUUAAAUGCAAGUUGCGAUAUUGUUAUUAUGUGUGUUUAGAUCAGAGCCAAGAUGGCAACGUUUGGAUUUGGCGGUGCAACUGAGGUCACCUCAGGAGGGAAUGCCUUGAAAUUUUACGCGUCUGUCCGUCUCAAUGUCAGACGUAUUGGUUUUGUCAAAAAAAAUGAAGAGGUAAGAUAACAUUUUCUCUACUAUUUUGGCAAAGUUUUAAAAUUUAAACACUUGUUAUUUAGAUUAAUAAUAAUUAGGCCAUUUAUUAAAUAUAUUUAGAGUAUCAAUUCAGUGUUGUAGUUAGAAUAUUAUUAAGAUUUAGAAAACAGAUUGUCCUAAGAUUCUAUAAAUAGGGAAUACUUCCCCUAAAACAAUUUUUUUCCUGUUUCACUCAUUCUGUAACUCAAGAAAUUUCCUUAAGGUCUUAAAUUGAUCGUUCAGUCGAUUGACGACAUGACUCCAUGUGGUACCUUGAUCCCUCCUACAUUGGAUGUCGUCGCUCUUCAAUUUAGAAUAUCCUCAUAUGAACAUUCUCCGUCUACCAUUUUUGAUGCUACAUACAACGAAUUAUAUAUUUAUAGUAAGGUUAAAAGCAUUAUUGAAGAGGUUCUUGACUUCUUCUACUUUGCUGGUUUUGAUUCUCUAUUUAUUUUUGGUUUUACAAGGAUUUUUUGACAACAAUGGACUAAUCCUCCAUUCUUUUUGACUUGUUCUAACAAUUCAUAUAUGAACUAUAUAUUUUUUACCAAUAAUAUCAUUGUUUUAUUGAAAAUGGUUAACAAUAGAUCAUAGGAAGCUCAGUUUUGGUGAAGAUUGUGAAGAACAAGCAUGCUCCCCCUUUCAGGACUGCGCAAUUUGAACUUGAAUUCGGAAAAGGUAUUUGCCGCGAAGUGGAAUUAAUCGAUUUGGGCGUCAAACACAAAUACAUCACCAGAAACGGUGCGUAUUACAGGAUGAAUGAUAAAUCAUUCCAUGGAAAAGACGCCAUCAAAGACUAUCUAGUCAACGAUAUAGACAUUCGAGAAAAUUUGGCAUUAAAUUUAAAGGAAAAGCUAAAGAUGCAGACGACAACAAUUACAAAAAAUUGUUCUGUAACUGAUGAAGAUGAAAUCGUCAACGACGCAUUACAUGGAUAGUUAAUUUUUUAUUAUCAAUUUAUUAUCAAGAGAGAAAUCUAAAACUCUAAUCGAUAAAACAUUAAAAUUACAUUCAUAUAAUUCUAAUUCUAAUUAAAUUAAAAAAGAAAUUAUAGAUAAAUAAACCUCUUCCAAGAACAAAAGCUUUUGAUAAAAGUAACUAACAUACAUUAAACGGUAUUUAACAAAAAAACAAAUAACUAUAACAAACUUUAAUUAAAACUUAAACUAAGCUUUUUUGGGAGAUUUGACAGAAUCCUCUGCCUUACCGCUCUUUGGCAAUAAAACUGAAUGGAUAUUGGGUAGCACACCACCUUGGGAAAAAGUAACACCAUGUAACAACUUUCCUAGCUCAACAUCAUUUCUAACAGCAAGAAGCACAUGUCGUGGGGUGAUCCUCGUCUUCUUGUUAUCCCUUGCUGCAUUUCCAGCCAACUCCAAAACCUGUGAUAAUUAUAUUAUCAAAUACCGUUUGACGAUAAAAUAGUGAAAAAAUGAUCGGUUUCUUAUUUUUUACCUCAGCAGCGAGAUACUCGAGAACAGCGGCAAGAUAAAUAGGAGCACCAACGCCAAAACGUUUAGCGUAACGACCUCUUCUCAGAAACCUUCCUACUCUGCCAACGGGAAAUUGUAGACCAGCUUUCAGUGACUUUGAAACUGGCUUGGUCCUCACCGAUCCCUUCCUUCCCCCGGCGCCUUUGAUCUUGCUUGAUUCCAUUUUUGUCGAUGCUAUGCGAUUUAACGACGACAAAUUUGAAGUUUAGAAAACUUGUUUGUUAAAACGAAGAGGAGUGGGAAGCAUAUUUAUAUGGAAAGAGAGGAAGACGAUCCGUGUGUUGGAGUAGGUUGGGAAGGUUAGGAUUGAAGAAAAUUAUUUUGACGGUGUGGAUGGCUUGUAAGAUGGCGUAAUCCGUGGACUCUUUGUUUAAACCAAUGGGGCUACGUGGGUGGGUAUAACUUGUAAGAAAUUACAAGGGUAUUCGAUGGCGGGAAUUAUUUGUUUUCAUUUGGGUGGAAAAAAAUUACUUUGUUUAAAUAUUAUUUUUCAAAAUCUUAAUUAAAAAUAUAUGUUAUUUUAAAGCAAUAAUUUUCUGCCUCGUGCUUAUAUGAGCUCAUCAGCUCUCAGUCGUUAGAUCUUUACAUUGAUAAUCUCAUCCGUCCAUCAGCUAUAUUAUUUUUUUAUGUACACUUUUUUGAGGAGUGAUGACUGGUUAUUAGUUUAUGAUAAAAAAAGCUAUUUAUUUUAUUUUAAAUCGUUAACUAUUUUUUCUACUUUAAUUUUAAAUCUCCAUCAUUUUGUCUAGUUGCAUAACUUAUAUAUAUCUCCUUUAAUUUUAACAUAGAUCAUCUAAAUUGCUCUACAUACAUCUCUCUUUCAUCUAUGAUUGAUGUCCAUUAAUAUUUCUAGUUAAAUCUUUUUUACUUUUAAUAUAGUUGUUCUUACAUUCCUCCAUUCUCAUAUAACUCUCUCGCAGUUUACCGUUCAAUUUCGUAGGUCACUAAUUGUAUAACUUACGUCUUUUUUACUUAUGAAAUUGUUGUUUGUUAUUACCAUCACCUAUAUAUUAUUUAUUUAUGAAGUCAUUGUUCGUUGUUAACAUCACUUACAUAUAUCUAUUUUACUUAUAAAAUCGUUGUUUCUUAUUAACCACAUACAUCUACUUUACUUACGAAAUCGUUGCUCAUGGUCAAAUAAGAAAUGAAUUUGAGGUAAAAGAACCUACCUUAACAUUAUACAAGGAAAAAACGGAAGCUUUGUUACAAAACCUUUCAGAAACAAAGAUCAACCUGAUCAAUAGAAACCUGAAUGGAGAAACCGAUGCCUUAGCCAGGCUAGGCGCAUCUUCAACCUAAAUAGCAGAAAAAAAGUGGAUACAAUUAGAAAAUAUAACGACACCAUCUUUUAAAAUUUACUCAAUUUCAAAUAGUGAAAACGACUGAAGAACUCUUGUUUCCAACUUCCUAAACGGAAAAAUGCCAGAAGCAACGAAAUGGAAAAAAAAAAUCAAAAAUCAAUCCGCACAAUCAUCGAUAACGAACUAUUUAGAAGAGACUACUAAUUAAAUUGUCCAUUCUUAAAUUGAAAAUUUCCGCUAUCUUCACAUCUCGUAAUCCCUAGUCCAACCGGGUCGUCGCGUCUCUCUCUUUGACCGGACUUUUGCUGGUGAACCGGGCUUGCUGCCGUUAAACUGCCCUGGGUCAUCUUCUUCCCCAAAUCUGGAACUUUAGGUCGCCGUCUUGCAGGAUUUUGGCAACGUCUCCUCUGAGAGCUUCACAUCCGAUUGGAGUGUGUGGUGGUUCUGCCGGAGUCAUAUCAUCACCGUCCCCUUGAAGACCAACAUUGCCCUCAAUGUUGAUUGAAGGAAAAAGCUCAGCUAUAUCAUCCGUAAAUUCCCAUGAUAUAUCUUCUAGAAUUGCUCCGUUCCACAAGAUUAGUACUUGUUUCCUUGCCCUUCCUCCCUGUAAUAUUUCCCUUUUAUUUAAAAUUGCAAUAGGGUAGACGAUAGGUUUAUUGUUCACUGAAAUGAUUGGCUGAUCAUCUACUGAAAUUUUUGGAAUAGGGCCGCAGAACUUUCUCAGCUUGAAUACAUGGAAUGUGGGAUGUAUUUUGCUCCCCUUAGGUAAUUCCAAUCUAUAAGCAACCUGAUUUACCUUCUUGCAUAUUUUGUAUUGACCAAAAUAUUUUUUGCAAAAUUUGUUAUGCAAUCUAUGAGCCACUAAGAUCUGUCAGUAGGGUUUUAAUUGAACAAGAACUCAAUCUCCCUUUUCAAAUGAUAACUCUGUUCUUUUUUUAUCUGCUAUUUUUUUCAUUCUCGAUUGGGCCUUCUCUAGAUUUAUCUUUAUUGCUUUUAGUGAUUCUUCCCUGAGUUGUAUAUCCACAUCUACUGCAGGAACUUGUGACUCACCUGAUUUGUAAUGUGGAAUAUUAGUAGCUUCUCUUCCAUAUAAGACUUUGUAGGGACUUGCUCCUAGAGAAGAAUGGAAACUUGAAUUGUACCAAAGUUCUGCCCAGGGCAGCAACUUAAGCCACUGUUUUGGCUAUUCAUGACAAUAGGCCCUCAGAUUCAUCUUGACUGUUCUGUUUAAUACUUCAGUCUGCCCAUCAGAUUGAGGGUGGUAAGCUGAAGAGAAAUUCAGUUUAGUUCCACUCAAUUUAUGUACAUCCUUCCAAAACUAAUGGGAUGGCAAUUUUGGCUUAGAACAACCCCAAUCCCAUUUUUACAUGCAUCAGUCACUACUGUAAACUCUACUUCAAAAUCAGGAAAACCCAAUACUGAAACAGACACCAUUGCUGCCUUUAACCUUUCAAAACUGAUGGUGGCUUCCUCCCCCCACUUGAAACUAUCCUUUCUAAGUAGGUCUGUCAUUGGAGAGGCAAUAGAAGCACACCCCUUGAUAAAUCUUUUAUAGUAUCCAGUGAGGCCUAAAAAUCCUCUUAAUGUUUUCAGAGUUUUAAGUUGUGGCCACUCUACCAUUGCUUUUAUCUUCUCAGGAUCUAGAUGAACACCAUCUCCAGCAAUAAUAUGACCAAGGAAUGACAUAGAAUCUCUGCCAAAGGAGCAUUUGGACAAUUUGACAAGUAACUUUUUUUCUUCUGAAUAAUUCAAAAACAAUUCUUAGAUGAUUAAUAUGAUAUUCCACGGAUGCACUAUAUACCAAUAUAUCAUCAAAAAAUACGAUGAUAAAUUUUCUCAUGUGCAUAGAGAAAAUAGAGUUCAUCAAGGACUGAAAAGUGGUUGGUGCGUUAGUAAGGCCAAAAGGCAUCACUAAGAACUCAAAAUGGCCUUGGUAAGUUCUAAAUGUUGUUCUCUGUGUGUGUUAGGAUUAACUCUGAUCUGAUGAAAUCCAGACCUCAAAUCUAACUUGGAGUAAAUUGUAGAUCCCUUUAGUUCUCCCAAAAGUUCAUCUACAGUUGGGAUAGGGUAUUUGUCCUUGAUAGUCAAGGCAUCCAAGGCCCUAUAAUCCACACAUAAUCUAUAUCCUCCAUCUUUUUUUUACUAAUAGUACAAGAGAAGAAAAUGGGCUAGAACUAGGUUUAAUGAUACCUUGCUUGAGCAUUUCAGCUACUAAUCUUUCUAUCUCAGAUUUCUAGAAUUGCGGGUAUCUGUAAGGUCUUACAUUAACAGAACCAGCCCCAGGCUCUAGAUGUAUUGCAUGUUCCUUCUCUUUUUGAGGUGGAAGGCCACAAGGUUCUUCAAACAGUUCAUAGUAUUCUUGAACUAUAGAUGUAAGCUCUGGACUCUUUGAAACUAAUGCAUUUCCUGGUUCAACAUCUUCUACUCUCUCCAUAUAACACAAAUAAGCCUCUUGUGUAGAUGCAGUAAGGUACUUAAGUUGUCCUUUUGUCAAAGGAUCUUCAGAAAUCCAUGGUAGUCCCAACCAAGAAAUUUUUUUGCCCUUCAAACAGAAUUCCAUGAUGGAGUUUUCGAAAUCAAAAGUAACCUUCCCAAAGAGAUAUGUUACUCCACGCAGAAAGGUCAUUAAGAGAGUACAGUCCAUCUGGUUUGUUAAUGACAAGACCUAACAUUGAGAGAUCAGUAAGAAGAUCAAGAGUCGGGCAUUCGAAAGAAAGUUUAGGUCAUUAAAAACAAAAAAACAAAAAACAAGGGACGAGUAAUAAUUAUUCUUCCUGCAGGGAUUUAAGAAAUGACGGCAAAAAGUUGAUACCGAUAAAUCAGGGAACUAUAUUUUGACGGUAGAAUACACUUUUUGAGAACAUAACAAAUCAAAAAAGAAAAUAAGGUCGCAUAAAAACAUCUACAGUCAGAUACGACAACCAACCAAGAUCCGUUUCAGGCACACUUGGAGAGCUAGGGCGUGUCGCAACUCGAAAAGAUCGAGUGGGUUAAUUUGUGCACCUUCGAAGGUAUUUUUGGUAUACUUUUAAUAAAAUAAAACCUAAAUCCAGAUGAAACAGAAGCAAACAACAGAAAGAAAUCCCAGUGUCUAUAAAAAGGCGUAAAUACCAACAAAGCAAAACAAAAUUUUGUAAGAUGAACCCAUUUUAUUUAAGUAUUUUUACAAAAAUACAUUUAAGAAAUGCAUUUCAUCUACAAGAACACAAGGUAAGAAAAUGCGGCAACAGGCGUUUUGAGAGCAACUCCAACAUUUCAGACAGUAGGCUUUCUACGAGGAAAACGAACAACACGGGGGAGGGUGUAAGGUGCAUGGUGUCUAUACACCCGAUUAUGACAUGCACAGUAACCCGACUCAGAUGCCUCCGUUCUCUGCAACAACGUCAACCUCCUUUUUACAUCUAACAACAGGUGGUUCACUCGAUCCAGCAGAGCAGAAAGUCGACUGCUGGCUCCCUCAUCAGUCGAUCACACCAGAACUCCAGCAAUGACGCUCUGAUGAUAAACGAGCUCAAGGACAUAUUCUUCCAACAGUGCUCGAGUCAUCCUUCUAUCAAGUUUUCUUUAACGGGAGGAGUAACUGUUGAUACGUAAUUGGUCGCGCUAUAUACUUGCACCGACCAAUCACAUCUCGCCAGGAACUACAAAUAAAUUGGAAUUGCAUGUCCGGCUUAAUAAGGAGUUCGACACUUGGAUCGUAACGUGUCACCAAGCUAAUGUAUCCCCCGACUAUAUAAGGAGAAAACAUCAAUAGAACUCGACGGGAUCUCUACAUCAACACAUAACAACUCAUUUGUGUCGUUCAUUUUUAAGAAAUGUUAACGUGUCUUUAAAAAUAGUGGGACGUAUACAAUUUUUGAUAACAUCUGAUUAUCUACCAUCCUACGUAUUUUAUCGAAAAAAUCAAUCCACGUAUUAAUGUUGAUGUUGGAUGUUCCGGAUAUUCUUUUAAACAAAUUACAUUCUAAAAAAAAUUGACUACCGUUUUGAGCAAACUCCCUUAUCAAAAUACUUGCAUAAAUAUCGAUUAUCUGCAUUUUCUUGUAAGUCAGAUUUUUCAAAAUGAAUUUAAAUGUUUGGUCUGAUUGAUCUCACAUGGUCGUUGUAGAUUUUCUUUUGAACAAUAUCUACAAUGUCUUGCCCAUUAUAAAACCGUCUGUUGCGAGAAUACGAUUUUUUUUCGAUUUGUCAAAAAAACACUUUACAAUUACAUUAUUCAUUUGUUGUCCAAAAAAUUAAUAAAGUGGCUACCUUUAUAAAGGAUGGAAUGAAAUAAACAUUUUUUUGUGUGAUGUUGGGUGAUACUGGAACAUCACCCUUGUGAGAGACUAAUUGUUUGUCCCUAUUGGUAAAUGGUUUGCAUUUAUGAAAAUAUUUAAAGAAGGAUGUAUUUCUACUGAGGUGCUCAAAGACAUUUGAGUUAAUAAUCCAAUAAAAGUUUGAAUAAUUAUUAUGAAAAAUGAAAUUUGCAAUACUUGAAUCUUUGUAUUUUAGUAGUGGUUUUGGAUUGUAUUUCUCAGAAUAAAGUGGAAAGCCAUGGGGUCCAAUCGGGUUGUCAGGUGUCUCAUUCUUUUUCACUGAAUUGUCCCAUAUGCAGACCAGGCUUGUUUGUCAGUAGUGACAUAAUUCACAAAACUAUAUGACAUUAUUGGAGUUGGUUUUUUUUGUUGAGGGGACACCCUUGUUUUGCUUGUGAUCCAGAGGAUAGCCAUGUUGAACAUAACAUUUGUCAUCACUAUGUUCAAAGACAACACAGUGAAAGCAAUAGUGUUUAGUGUUAACUUGUCUAUCACUCUUUAAGUAGAGUGGUUUAGAUGAAGGAGGAGGUAUCUUUCUUAAAUUUGAAGAGGAUAUAUGGAGCAAUUUGUAAAUUUCUCAACAUGGGAAGAACUGACAUUGUUGUUUUUGUAGACUUUUGCUGAAUUUUCUAUUUUUGUAGAGUAAAAGGCAGACCCUUGCAGAGCAUUGGUGUUGUCAGUCAGAUGUUCUUGGGUUUUUCAUGGACUACCAUUGAAUAAACCUUUCCACCCUUUGGAAACUUCUCCAUUGAUAAAAUGUGUAACCUAAUUUGUCUGAAAUAUUCCUCAUUCAAAAUCAUUAAGAUCAAUUUCCUGAUUUUAAACCUUUCUUCUCUGUCAUUGAUUUUACCAUUCACAUUGCACGUGCACAAACCACAGUCACAGUAGAGAAUCUCCCCAUAAAUAUCAACUUCUCUCCAAGAAUUUUUAAGGUUGGUGAAAAGUUUAGAGAUAGAGUCAGCAUCUUGUUGAAGCAAAGCUACAUCUUGUGACAAAUGAUAAAUACGUGUUUUAUUUGAUUGCCUGAAUUGGUCUCUGAGAGGCUGAGAUCACUCCAAAUGAUGGAAGCAUCAUUUAUAUAUAUGACUUGAAAGGUAAUCUAUUUUUCUAUGCAUCGUAUUCUCUACUUGGGUUUUCUAUGAUCGUCUUCUCUAUUUCCUUCAGGUAUUCUAGUUUUCUCCCCGAAUCAGUCUAUUUUCUAUGAUUUUCUAUUUUUAUCACAAUAGCGAUGAAAUUCAACAAUUACGGACAACAGCGGAUGAAAAUGUAUGUUUUAAUUAAUUUUACUAUUUUAAAUUAUUUGAGUGUUUUAUUUUUUGAUAUGCUAUUUUCCUCUUUUAGGUGGUUCAACAAAAAUGCAUUGAAAAAUUCAUCAAAAACAAAAGAAGAAGAUACAUUGGACUUGAUGGAAGAUCAUAUGCUGAGUCGAUCGAGCACUGCUUCUAUAAGAUUUUCAGUUGAAAUGAAUUUACGAAAUCUUGAAAAAGAAAUAAUGAAUGAUCAAAUCAAGUCUUUACUAGAGGUAUGCGUAUGAUAAUACAUGAAAUUUUAAAAUAAUAUAUAAAUAUUAAUGAAUCUUAAAUGUUUUACAGGAUAAUCGAAAUUUGAAUAACAAAUACGAUCAAAUUUUUGAUAUGUAUCAAGAGUUGUUGAAAAGAUUUCCAUCAUAAUCGAAUACAACUCCAUAACCUUCUGAUCAUGGAUCGUUGUAAGAUAAUAGUAAUGAAGCUCAUAACGAUCGAAGAUAUCAAACUCCUCUAUCCAUAAUUUUAAUCAAAAUCAGAGAAAUAGUUUAGUAUAAAUAUUAGAUUAUGAAUUCUCUUUCAAUUUUAGAUAUUUUGAAAUUUAUAAGAUGUUAAUAAUGUAAUUCAAUUAAUGUUGAAUGUUAAAUGAUUUUACUCAUUAAUGUUGAAUGAAUUUAGUGAUUAAUAUUGAAUAUGAAUUAUGAAUGUAAAACUUUAAUAUGAAUGUUAUAUGAUUUAUUUCUACAGGAAAAAAUAUUUAAGCAAUAUAUGAAAUGAAAUACAUUUUGGAAAUAUUUUUUGUGCAAAAAAAAUAUUGUAACGGAAAUUCCGUUAAAAAUGAUCAGUCUUUUUUUUUUUGUAUUUGUAACGGAAAUUGUAACGAAAAUUCCGUUACAAAUACCCCGUUAACUUAGUUUGAAAAAUCAAAUAUGUAACGAAUAUUUGUACGGAUUUGAGUAUUUGUAACGAAAUUUUGGUGACGACCAAAGUUAACAGAAAUUCCGUUAUAAAUGACAUAGUUAACAAAAUUUCCGUUAACUUUGUUCGUCCAUGAUAAGUGAUUCAAGCCUCAUAUUCCUCAAGAUUUUUGUUAGAGGGUUCCUUAAUUCAAUAGUUGUUCCAAGGACAAAUUCAGUUUCCUUCUUAUUAUUAGCAUUGUGGUCAUCUCUCUGUUUCAGAGGUAAUAGUUUUGGCUUCCUUCACAAUGAUUAGACAACUUCAGGAAAUAUGGAGAAAUAGGGUCAAAUAGAAGACCCUCCCUUGGUUUUUUAUCAUCCAUUGAAAAUGCACUGUGACGACAUUCACAAUGAUGAAGGUGAAGGUGUAUUAGAUAAUUAAAUAGAAAGUGUAAAUGAGUAUGGUCCAUAAACAUGGAUGAUAUAUAAAUGAAUGUUUGGGUUUAUGCAAGUUAUGACUCCUCAACACAAAAAUGGUGAAGGGUCACAUAUAAAUUCAACAUGUUAUGAAAUGAAAUUGGUUGUUUAAGAAGAACAGAGUGAUAUGGAUAAACAAGAUAAGUAAUGUGCGGAAGCGUCGAUCAUGGAAGUUAGAUACAAAACUUUGUAUGAAAAAUCACUCAAUCAUAUAUGAGAAGGGGAACCAAAUCACUCAAAGUUAGAUACAAAACUUUGGAUCAUGGAACACAGGAACCAAAUCAACACAACACCACUUGUAGCUUUGAUACCAUGUCAGAGUCGACGAGCUAAGAAGAUGGUGUACGUAUUGUUUAUGAUAGAUUUAGAUUUAAGUCUAAAAACUCAACUAUGAAUAACUUGUUAUUUGUUGUAUGAGAUAGGAGUAUCCAAAAUAACCCUCAAUGGAUGUUACUUAGUAGUUAGUAGUGAGUCUGGACCCCGAAUUGAGUAUGGUGAGAUAACUGAGGAGAGGCCAAGGAGUCUGGUUGGAGUUCGUUUCUUAGGGACGGAUCUCUUUUAGGGUGGGCGGGUGGUGGUGGUGGCUACCUUACGUUUGUCUCACGUCUGACUAGCUAGUCGACUUAGUUGAUUAUUGGCGAAUCCGACCUUUGCCUACUUUCGAAGAGGAGGGGAAGGAGGAUGCCUUGAAUAGACUAUGGUUGUGUGGAAGUGUCUCUCAGAUGAACACGAGUAUAUGACGGACGAAAAUAUAUCCCAAACUCUUUAAAAGAUUUUUAUAGAGCGUGUGAGUUGUCUUUGGUUAUAUUAUGAAUUGUAUUAAUUGUAAUUGCUAAUAUAUUUAUCACUAUUUUAUUAAAAAAAAAACUUCAUGCAACUUAUUAAGUUAUAACUAAUAUCAAAUAAAAAAAACCAUGUUCACGUCGUCACUGUAACACUGUCACUAUUUCUCCGGGGCAAAACUGUCAUGUCCACGCGUCAAACAAUAAUUGGUCACAAACACGUUUCCUGGUUCGUCAUUGGUCGAAACCUAGUCAUUUUCGACCUUUAUAUUUCAAUAAAGAGAGAUUAAUCCAUUUCUCGUGUCGACGCGUCGUGGUUCUUCUUCCUCCUCUGUUACCAUCGGGUUCUUCAACCCAGGCCGUCGAUUCCCUGGUAAGAUCCAUUCCUCACCGUUCGCUUAUACUUCCAGGGUUUUUCUUCUCCACAGUUGAUUUUUGAGAUCUGAUUUUCUUGGAUUCGCAGGCGAUGGCGAACAAACAGAUCGCACCUUUAGCUCUCCUGGUAAUCCUGAUCGCGUGUUUCUUGUUCUCAUCUCAUGCUUCGGAUGCGGUGAGUGUUUGCUGGAUGGAUCUUGACAUCUUGUGUUAUCUAGUUCUUAAUUUUUCCAUCUACGAUGUGUUUGGGUGAUGAUGCUAAUCCGUGAUUUCAGAUCUUCUAUGAAUCAUUCGAUAAGUCAUUCGAGGGGUCUUGGGUUGUAUCGGAAAAAGAAGACUACGAAGGUUUGCAUUCCGAUCCGAAUUUCGAACUGUUUUUAAAAUCUCUCGUUAGCAUCUAUUGAUAAAAUAUGGAUUUUUUUACUGGAUCUGGCGAAAGGGUAGAUCAGAAUAAUUAGUAUACCUCUUGCAGAUUUGCCAAAGUAGAACAAUAAAUUUUUGAUUAUACGGAUUAAUAAGCUGCAUUUAAAAUUUUGAAUGCAAUUUUCUACCGACUCUCGGACGGUCCGACCCACUUCUCGUGAUUAUCGGCAUAUAAAGCAUUAAAGUCAACUUAGUUAGAUCUAAGAACUAGUUUGAAGUUAUAUAAGUAUUAAGUACCAAGUGGUCUUUUCAAUUGAUAUACCACAGUACUCGUGUUAAAAUAACAAAAUUAACAAUCCGAUCUAGUAUUAUUUGUUAUUAAAUUUGGCAUUUGAACAAACAAUUCAUCAUUCUCCAUAUCUUGUAACGAAGCUACAAAUUUAAUAAUAUCUUGUAUCUAUAGUUCAUUUUCAUAGUAGGGAAGUAAUUUGUGUUUGUUUAUAUUACCAUAUUAGCAUGAAAUACUCCGAUAGCUUUAUGAAUUAUGAUAGUGACUUAGCCUUUAGAGUUUGGAUUUAGCAGACAGUGGUGAAAUACUGUUUGGCGGAUUUUUCAUGUUUCUUUUUAGCAUUUGAUUUGUGUGUUUAUGGUAGUUUUGUCAGUUUGUGAUUGAGAAUUAUUCUUUCCCCAUACUGAAAAUGACAAUCUUGAUAAUUUUGUGUGGGACACUAUUAUCAGGUGUGUGGAAGCACUCAAAGAGCGAGGGGCAUGAUGAUUACGGUCUUCUUGUUAGCGAUAAAGCAAAAAAGCAUGCCAUUGUAAAUGUACUUGAUAAACCUGUAAGUCUUAAGGAUGGAACCAUUGUCUUACAGUUUGAAGUUCGUCUCCAAAGUGGUCUUGAGUGUGGUGGGGCAUAUCUGAAAUAUCUCAAACCACAAGAUGCUUCAUGGAUUCCAAAAAAUUUUGACAAUGAGUCUCCUUAUUCUAUUAUGUUUGGGCCUGACAAAUGUGGGUCUACAAACAAGGUUCAUUUCAUUCUCAGGCAUAAGAAUCCUGUUUCAGGGGAAUAUGUUGAACAUCAUCUCAAGCAUCCAGCAUCUGUCCCAUCGGAUAAACUCUCCCAUGUAUACACAGCGAUCAUCAAACCUGAUAAUGAGUUACGGAUUUUGGUCGAUGGGGAGGAGAAGAAAAAGGCCAACUUUUUGUCUUCGGACGAUUUUGAGCCAUCCCUUAUUCCAGAAAAGACAAUUCCAGACCCAGAUGAUAAGAAGCCCGAGGAUUGGGACGAGAGAGCUAAAAUAGCCGACCCUGUUGCAGUGAAGCCAGAUGAUUGGGACGAGGAUGCUCCCAUGGAAAUUGUAGAUGAAGAGGCCACCAAGCCAGAAGGUUGGUUAGAUGACGAACCUGAAGAAAUUGAUGAUCCAGAAGCUACAAAACCAGAAGAUUGGGAUGACGAUGAAGAUGGUGAUUGGGAAGCACCCAAGAUCGAUAAUCCCAAGUGUGAGUCUGGUCCUGGUUGCGGGAAGUGGUCAAAACCAAUGAAGAGUAAUCCUGCCUACAAGGGUAAAUGGUAUGCUCCUAUGAUUGACAAUCCAAAUUACAAGGGUAUUUGGAAACCACAACAAAUCUCAAAUCCCAAGUAUUUCGAGCUUGAGAAACCAGACUUUGAGCCUAUAUUUGCCAUUGGCAUUGAAAUAUGGACAAUGCAAGAUGGUAUUCUUUUUGAUAAUAUUUUGAUAGCAAGCGAUGAGAAAGUUGCGGAAUCAUACAGAGAGAAAACCUGGAAACUCAAGUUUGAGGUAGAAAAAGAAAACCAGAAGUCAGAGGAAGUCGUCUCUGGUGAACACACUGGUCUUCAGGUGAUAAGUCAUUUACCACUAUCCAUUUUAAUUUAACUCAUUUACCACCAUCUAUCGGUACUUUUUGCUAACGCCAUUUUUCUCUCGAUGUUCAGAAAAUGGUGUUUGAUUUCCUCUACAAGAUUGCAAAUAUUCCAUUUCUGGCACCUUACAAGUCCAAAAUAAUUGUAAGUUCAUCCUCCCAGAGUCUCACUUUCUCAAUCAUAGUAAUUAAUCAACCACCUAUAUUUUGUGAAAAUGGCAGGAUCUAAUCGUGAAAGGUGAGAAGCAGCCCAAUAUUACCAUCGGAAUCGUCUUCUCCAUCCUAUUGGUUCUGUUAACAGGAGUCUUCAAAGUCCUCUUUGGCAGCAAGAAAACAGCUGUACCUGUAAGUAAUAAGAUUCAUAAUAUAUUCACAAAUCACAGGUAUGAAAUUGCAUCCUUUUUAUAUUUCCUUGCAUCAGGCACCUCCUGCAAAGCCAGUUACCGCCGCCUCUACGUCUGAGACCACAGAGAAAAAAGACGAUGAUGAGAAAGAUGAGACUACAGCUCUGCGCCAAAGGAAGUCCAGACGUGAUACAUAGAAUGGAAAUGAGGCUUCUAGUUUUUUGUCCUUCGAUAACAAAGAACUUGUAUUAGAACAUGAGCAUAGUAUUUGUAAUUUGGCUCGAAGUUGCUGUGUGCUUGCCUUCUUGGCUUCCUUCUUUAGCUAAUUAAUCAGUAAUUCAGUAAUCAGUAUUGUUGUAUUUUGAUUUUUUGUCAUUUUCUAAAUUCCAAUUCAAGUAAUUCAACAGAUAUUUAAUAUUUAUUAUUAAUUAAUAGUAUCAUUUGUUGAUGUUUAAUAUUAAUAAUAAAAUCAUAAGGACUUUUUCGCAAUUCAUAAGGACUAAGGAACAACAUUGGUGGAUUAAAAUCCCGCGAAAAAUUAACCCAUAGAGAGAGGUCAUUCGUUAAUGUAGCGCACUUCAACUGAACUCACUACGCUACGUCAUACGACUCACACACAGCCUUUCUUCUCCGACGAUAAAGAUUAAAGAGGGAAACGGCCAAAGGGACCUUUUCAUAGGAGGAGAGAAGAAGUUAGAUUCUAAAUCCUUCAUUUCCCACCGGAAGAAUGACGCUUCUCUGCUUCCUUCUCGAUCUUCGUACGAUCCCGCCGUCUCUUCUUCGUGAGAUUAAACAGGUUCACGAUCAAACACCAGUACAUCGCUGAAUUAUUUAGUUUAUUCCGAUCUUUCUUUUGGCAAUGAAUUUUGAUGUGUCGUGCUUUGUUUUCUAGAGUCUGUUACAACUCGCGAAUCUCUAUGCCAUUUCAGUCUGGAAUGAGGCGGAGGAUCGUCCGUUCACUCCGUUGCAGGAUAGGAUCGGGUUGUGCUAUCUGCAUAGGAAUAUGAUGCUUAAUUCUGACGAGGUUUAAGAUUUUUCUUGUCUGUACUUUUGUCAUUGGCUUAUUGCUUUAUAUAUAUUUUUAUGGAUGCGCAUGGAUUCUUUAGUUGGAUUUUAGAUCGUGAAAACAUUGACAUGACUGAAUCGAUAACUUUAACGAUGGUGGUUAAAUAUGUCUGUAAAUUAUAGACACACGAAAUAUGGAAAUAAUGUUAAACGGGGAAAUGGAAUGGUCAUAUAUACUCAUAUAGAUGGUAAAAAACCUAAAAUUAACUUGUAUUUCACUUAUUUCUAAAUGAUAUUAUGAUGUUAUAAAUUUCUAUUAUUAGUCUCCAAAAUGUUGUCACUAUCCUACGACCUACAUGCAUUACUUCGUAUUUCAAUUACACUGCAACUUUAAUUUGAAACAUUUCUUAUAUGUGGAAUGAAAUCGGUAUGUAUAUAUCCUCAGGGCUUCUGUAUUUUGAAAAGAAUGUUUAUUGGUGGUUAUCUUCUUAUCUCAUACUUAAUUCAUAAAUCACAUACAUUUUGUUGUUUUACAAAAAAGAAGUUAAACUUGUUAACUUCCUUAGGCCGAAUCAAAAUAAACUUCUUAGUAUUUGCAGACUUUCUUCAGUUUAAGCUUCUCACAUAUUUUUAUGAUGAAUUCCAAAAGAUAAAGAUAGCAUAUUCUCCAUGGGGAAAUUUCAAUCUACGGAAUUUCCAUCACGCUGUUAACAACAUUCCGAUGGAUAACUAUCUACUUGAAUCAGGCAGUGUUGAUAGUUCAAGAAGCAACAAUCUAGGUAUCUCUCCUUUGAUUUCUUUCUUCUUCUGAUAAAUUUAUGAGAAAAAACAGUUAAAGAAAAGGAAAACUCAUAUGUAGGUAGAUUUAUUUUCGCAUCUUUUUUAUUAAUCUCACAGAUGUCGAAUUCAGAAAGCUUCUUAGUCAUGAAUCAUUGUACCCUUGGAAUGGUAAAUAUGCUCUGAAGAAAUUGAUUUUCAUUAGCUCUUACAUGAUCACAAUUGAUGAAUCUCUCAGGAAAGUAAUCAUGGUAUGCUGGCUUACUUUUCAGCUCUUUUCUAUAUAAAUAUUAUUUUCCCUUUUCUAUUUUUAGUCAAACUAAUUUUGACUAUUCAACUAGGAAGCAGCAGAACAGUGUAUUAUGGUGGAGUUUAUUAUGCUGGAACAAGAUCAUUAUCAUGACUUGCCUUACAGAUCAGAAUUAUUUUUAGAUAGUAUAUCUGAUCUUGAAAAUUGUGUGUUCCGAAGGUAUACUCCUGGUGAGUUUUUUAACUAUCUAUGGCUUCAUGAGGUUUUUUCAAGUGUGUGCAUUUGAAUAUUCCUAUACUAGAAAAUGUUAGGAUUCCUAUAUUGAUGUCAAUAAGUGCAAUGUUGGAAGUUCAAACUUCAAUAUCGUGCAAAAAUAAAAUAUAAAUCACUUACAAUUGUGAUUUUUUUAAAUCCACGUUAGAAAAUGUGUCCGUGUUUGUGUUUCAUAAGAUAUCAGUGAGUUUCUCCACAUGUGAGGGAAUUUACAUGAUUGCAGACUUUCGGGUCUUCUGUGGGCUUGUAAAGAAAUGGAUGCAAGAACUAAAUGGUGAACCAGUGCAAGCUGUUUUUAUCUUUGAUGGGAAUAUUGCAGGCUUCAAAAAUAAAAUUUAUUGCAGCUUGAAUGCUUCCUCUAGUCCCAUAGUUGAUGGGUUUCACAUUUCUCAGGUACAGAGAUUUAGAAUACUUGUAGAUUAUUUUUAGAAGUGACAUGCUGACUGCAAUGUCAUUUUAGAUUAUUUUUCUAUGCUAUUUAAUAAUUUGUUGUUAUACUAUUUAACUUAGAUUAAUAUUUGGAUACAAGGACAAUUUGUUAAAUCUCCAAUUCUCCAUUGACAAAACUAAAGUACCAAAUAGUGAAUUUAUUACUGCCACAAAAAUAGAAUAUAAAGGAAACCCUUCAUAGAAGGAUAAAACCUCUGGGUGAUAUACUGAUAUAUCAUAACCCAUCUAAUACAUCUUCAAGUAAAUUGAAGUUGGUAAGGUACUCAUUGGGAAUAGAAAACUCAUAACCUCGUCCACUUUUUAGUGUCAUAACACCACUUGGGAUUCCUUUAGUGAAUUCAUGACUGCAAUAUCACUUUUGAUUUUUUAUUGUUUUGAUAGAACUCAUAACCUCAUCCACUUUAGUGUCACAAGACCACCUGAGUUUCAUUUAGUGAAUUCACGACUGCAAGAUCACUUUUGAUUUUUAUUGUUUUUGUAUGAAAUGGUCAAUGUAUUAGAGUUUAAGAUAGAAAAAUGUGCAUGUUGUUGGUAGGAUAUUUUACUCGAAGAAGAUUGCCAGUGUAAAUUAAGUUUAUUAACUAUUUCUUUUAUAGACUUGUAGGUGCCACGGCCGUCCCAUUGAAAGUAUAAUUUCAAAGACGAUUAAGAAACUAUCAUGUCCGGUUACUAACUGUAAUAUCGAGGCUUCUGAAGCAAAUAGAAAUGCAGUGGAAGUUGGAGACAAUACUCUAUUGUUUCUACCUUCUUCCCAUGAUUUUCUAAAGAAACAAAAAGUUCCUCUACUUAUCACUUUCAAUAUUUCGGAACGUAUCAACUUGUCAUCAUUGGAUGAAGGUUCUACACUUCAUUAUAAUUAUGAUUUAUGAGCGAGACAUUUUUUUUUUUGUACCAAAUUUUAAGCAUCAAUUGAUCAAUUAUACUGGAAACCAUUAAAACUUUGUCUAUUUAUAAUGUGAGAGUUUUAUUCUCUAUUUAGUAUGGGGGUUGUAAAUUUAUACUCCAAGGAAAAAAAUGAAAGAAACUCCAAACAUGGUGUUUGUGGACAUACUUUGAAAUUUAAAUACCCUUAAUUUUGGAUUGCGGUAUUGUGGAACUGCUUUGCAAAGUUUUUUUAUUUAAUCCCAUUCUCAUGUUGAUGAACAGAUGUUAAUCCAAACUUUAGAGCCAAGCUAAGGAAUAAUUUGAAAUAAUCAAGGAAUAAAGUUUCCUGAAAGUAUUGUGUUAUUAUCUCUGUUUCAAAGGAAACUGUCCUUUUAUUUUCUAGAGAGUGUAUAUUGAAGGACAUCUUUGGAUUAACAUAAUGAUUACUUUUCAGUAGUCAGUACAACGAACAUUGAGAUUGCCAGAAAUAUUUUGAAACUGUGUAGGACUCAAAUAUAAAGUAUAUUAGUAUAUUUCGGUUUUCAUUAAUGCAUAAUAAUUGACAAUAUCUAAUACUCUGAUCCAGUAGGGAUUGGGACAUCACAGUGAUCUGGGUAAAUGCCAACCAACUACUUUAGGGAGUCUUCCGGAUUUUGGGUAUCGACUGUCGGGUUCCAAUGACGAGUGAAGUGGCAUGAACGCCUAACUGUAGACGCUAUAAAUCCAAUUUUAGGUAGGGUUGCUAGAGUUCUGGAGUGGAGAAAAGGUGUCUGAGGAGUGGUCAUGGGAAUAAUGUGUCAUGUGGGAGGUGUCCUCUAUUUAUUUGGAUUUUGAAGCAGUCGUCUAGACUUAGCAAGGAGAGAGGGAUGAUGCUUGAUUAGCUCGAUCUAUCCUCAAACUGCAUUGUGUACUUGCAGCCUUAAUUAAAUUACCCAAUGCAUGGCUGCAUGCGCAAUGAGACCGAACCCAAUUCAUAGUUCGGUGGAUUGGUUGCCCAAUCUCCAUUUGGGGCCUUGCCUUUAUGGGGAUCAACUCAUCAAUAAUCUAUUGCAAAUUUACAAUUAAUAUAUUUUGAAAUAUUGUCUAUUAAAUAUUAAACACGUGCAUUUUGAUUCUUUUAUUUAUUCGUUACAUUAUUUUCCUUUUUAUCUUAAUAUAUAUAUUUUUUAUAAUGCUCGUAUUUAUUUUGGAGCAAGUAUUUGUUUUAUUUCUGUUGAGUAAUGUUAAUAUUAGUGGUCACAACUCACAAUUUCAUAGAAUUACGAGAUAUUUAAUUGAUUUAGUGGUCACUUAUCUGUCUAUUCUUGAUUAGUUCAUUUAGUUGGUAUUUCAAUAAUUCUAGGUAUGAUAUUAGGGAGACCUUAUGCUGUGAUUCCUGCAGCCAGUAACGAGAAUGAUGUGGUUUUAGAUGAAUAUGAGGAUUCAGAGAUAAACUGUCAAUGUAAUCUUUCCAAAUAUUUAGUAUUUUUACUAUGGAUUUUUGAAAUAAUUCUUUAUCUUUUAAUGCAAAUGCAGUUUUUCAUGGACUGCGUGUUUCACUUUCUCAAAUGGAUCAGGGCUUAGUUUGUGUUUCAAGAUUUAAUACUGAAACCAUGAAGACCACAAUAUUCCAGUGCUAUUACGUUCUUCAGCCUUCAAAUUGUGGCCCCAUGCUAUUAAGAGUUAGUGAAAGUGCGAAACAUUAUGUUUUUUGAAACCUCAUGUUUUCAAUCGACUCUGAUAUAUAUACAUACAUAUAUAUAUAUGCAAUUUUGCAUACCUGUUAUAUCACUUUUGCAUCAUUUAUUCUUGAGUCUUUUUUAUUGAUUUUUCUCUCUUUAUGAACCAAUGCGUGCGUUACAUAAUGCAUAUUGUUGACAAUUCUAAAAUCACACACAUGCUUUGUUCUGCAUGACUGUAUGCACAAAGAGAUGUUACAUAUGUAAUAUAAUGGAAAUGGUAUCUGUAUUUAUAAAAAAUGUUGAUUUAUUCAUGGAUUGAUAGAGCAUAUAAAAUAAAAAUGACAUUUCAUUUAGAUAAUUUUUUUUACAAAUGAUGGAUAUUAUUAUAGUUUUUUUGUAGUACUGAUCUAUUAAGUUUUAUUUUAUUUAUAUUUAACCACUAAUUAUCAGCAAACAUGCAUACAAUAUGAACCAAGACUAGAAAGAAGAGAUUAUGAUGAUGAGUCUAGUAAUAUUACAUUAAUACCAUCGAAACCAUCUUGAUCUUUGAGCUCCAUUAAGUGAAGUUUACAAAUAACUUUAGGGAUUUUUGUUAAGAUAUUUUGGAUAUAGGGUUGCACUUCCAACUAAUAGCAUUUUUAAUGUUACUGUUACUAUAAUUAAUGCUUUGAUAUUAAGGAUUUAUUCAUGCAAUUUUAUAUAAUAGGAAUCGAGGUAUUAUAUCAUCUAAGAGUUGUUAGUUGUUACCAUAUUUCUGAAUAUGUUUAAUUCUUUUUGAUGUUUUAACUUUUCAGAGACUUGCUGCAUUAGAGGAAGUUUUGCCCAUCCCGGUAUCAAUGCUGUCAGAUAUGAAUGUCUCAGAUGAUACCAUGGUUUCGAUUCGUGCAUCUAUAUCAAAUGUGAGACCAUUUCAUUUCAUUUCAUUUCAUCAAAUGUUCAAAACUCACAACAAAGUUUUGACAUGUUUCAUAAAAGAAUGAAACCUUUUCUUCUGUUGAUCAAUGAAAUAACACUGUACGUAUUGCGUUAUUUUUAACCAAUAGACUGAUUUUCGUGAUUGGGUUAAUAAUGACCGCAUGCUUUUUUUUUCAGUUGAAACUGACAGAUUAUGAUCCUCUUAUGCAUGUAAGAGGUUUUCACAUGAAGCUGAACUCACUGGUCAAUGAGAGCUUGGAAUCAGGGUAAUUAAUCUCUUAUCCCUAUAUAAUACUAUCCUUUUCUCAUAAAGCACACCUCAUUAGCUUUAAUAUCAACCCAUUUCUAAUUAGACUUCAUGGCUCUUUAAUUUUCUAGAAUUCAAGUUUUCUUUAUGUGUAUACAGUAUGACGACCCAAACCCAACAUAUAUUUCCAAAUUCUAAAUUGUAGAAAAGUUAAUAUUUUGAAUUAGAGGAAUGGCAUAAAUCAUAUUAGGCACAAGACAUUUGCCUCAGUUUAGGAGAAAGUCAGGAAGCUGGCCUUCAAAUUCAUCUUGGAUGGGACUCCCAUCAUGGGAGUAAAAAGAACUCUUUGAUCCCAAAGGAUUUUGUCCAAAUCAGAGGGGGGAGGCUAGGGAUUAGGGACCUCUCUAUCAUAUCUAAGGCAGUGAGCAUUAAGAAAGCUGCAAAUUUUUGAGAAAAGAGUGACUCCAUCUUGGUAUAAUGGAUUGAGAAGAGAUUAGGGGGAAGGAAAUCUUGGACAUCCAAAUAAAACCCUCCCUUGACUCCUAUCUCUGAAAAUUCUUCAUGACAUCAAGGGAUAUCAUAGAUGGUAGUUUGGAUUGUAGACCCCAUUACUCAAUAGUAUGGAGAUUAGGCACCAUUAUCAAGAUAUUUGGAGGAAUCACCGAUGCAAACAGGGAUAAGAGCCAUAAGGAUCAGAUGGCAGAGGGCAUAUGGUCACACGUCAAAUUUCCAACCAAAUUCUCUAUAAUGGAGGAACAAGUGGAACAUGCUUAAUCCCUUUAGGGAGUUAAAAUGAUUGGGGAUAAUUUCUUUAUGGAUUCCUAACCGAAACUUUUCUAGAUGUGUCCCUGGGUAUUCCUUUAAUAUUUCAUCUAAUAAGAAUAAUUCUUGUAAUUCUAUGAAUGUUUCUAAAAUCUUUUUUUCUUGAAUAUCAUUCAAAAGCGUUUUAGAUUGCUUGAUAUUCCACCAAUCAGUAAUCCAAGGUUCUAAAUAUUUAUUAAACGCUAGAGAGACUAUCAGGGCAAAAAUACUAUAAAUGCAAGAUAAGGAAGAGAGGAAACAAAAUGCUUAAGCCGCACAUUCAGACCACCUGAAAUUCUACUAAGGUUAGUUAUUUAGGACAUUAUUUUCUCCUUCAGUCCAGAGAGGCACAGGACGAACUGCUGUCAUCCACUAGAGUUUGGAGAUCAAUCUCUUGACAAUGUAUCUAAGUUAUUACUAAUAGAAACAUAGCUCAUUGCGAUCCUUAAAGUUUUUUUUGAGAAGUGAUCAGAGACAUCAAUCUCUUCUUCAGGCCAGAGUGCUAUAGAAAAAGUUAUUGUCACUCUUUGGAGAAUACUACACAUUAGAUGUGGAAGACCAAUUUCCUGAGGCAACCUAUCUAGUUGAUUAUCAUUAGGUAGCAUAGCCAAUUGGAAAGUAUUGAUGUGUCAAAAAAUCCAUCAUCUCCCUUUUUAUCCUUUUGUUUUCCUCAAUGUAACUCAGGCAUUGCCCCUCAUUAUUCUAAUGAAAUUUUUUAUCUGCUUCAAAAAAAAGAAAAGAAACAUAGCUAUAUAGGAAAGAGUUCCGGUGCAUCUCGCAUUGAGCGCACUAAAAACUAUGAGAGUCGACGAGUUCAUACUCAUCUCCCUUUUUUUUUUCAUAUCUAUUGUAUUUUUAGGACGACCUUCAUUAUUAAUGAGAAAAUUUAAUUUCAUCAAAAAAAAGAAUGGCAUAAAUCGAUAAUCAAUGAUGGCAAUGAUGGUCGUUGUCUUUAGUCUCCAGUCUAGUUUGGUCAUAUUAUUAUUUUUUUUUGAGGAAUUAAAUAUUUCAUUACUGAAAAAGUGAUGGUGGGCAUUGCCCGAUUACAAUGUAGUAAAAUGUAAAACAUGCAUAAAUGAAAACAUUGAAUGAAAACAUAAAAAUAUGUAGUUGCAUUGUCACUCUCUUAUAAUAGCUUUGUCACCGGCAAUGUAGCCAUAGACUAAUGCCUCGAGAGGUUGGACUCUGGAGGUCAAAGUGUGUGUUGUUUUAAUCUUCUGUUUCUUUCGCCCCAAAUGUGCCAAGUUAAUCCGCCUAGUGCUAACCAGUAUGUGCCCCAACAGCUUGCUCUAUGUGUAUUUUUCUCUAUAGUUUCCAUUAUGUCACCAAUCCUAAUAAAUCAUAGGGGAUGGAGGGGAUUGCCCCCUCUUUGCCUAUACCGCGUUAUUUAGGUUAUUUGUGACAUCCGGGAGGAGGUAGGUGUCUAGAGUAUGGACAGUUGAAUUGUUUCCUCCUCUGUCCCACAUAGAAUUCACGUGGUUUGUAGGUUAAUUCCCCAUCCCUGCAGUCUGGUCAGUGUAUUCAGACUUUUAGAUUUUAUUCUCCAGAGGAAUAUGGAGAAUUUGGGGGGCAUUUUUGACCAGAUUUCGAGAUUCAGGGCGUGUGCUAUACGGCUAUACCUUUAGGUCUAAUAACCUCCGAGUAUGGGAGUGUAUUUAGCCUGAUGGUUCUAUUGUUACUGAGACAUUCAACGCAAAAAUUGAUUGUUUCCUUAGUGUCAAGUAUUGUUUUCCACAUAUGGAAUCUAUUGUGGGUCUUAUAGUGAUGUCAUUUAUGUGCAAUCCUUUAACAUAUCUAAUUUUCAUCUAUUUAGAAAAAAUUGAGUUGUUAGGAUUCCAACGUUUCUCUGCCCUUUUAACUAUUGCUGUAUUCUUGGUUGCAAAGAAGUCUCUCACCUCUAUACCCCCUUCCUUCUUAAGGAGUGCCAUUUUCUUCCAACUACUGUUCCUCCUACUACCCCUUAGUUUGGUCAUAUUAGUGCACACCAUAUGAUGUGUGUUCUGUGGUUUGUGUCUCUUUGGACUAUUUGGUUUUCCAUAUAGUGAAAAUGGUUGUCUUACUGAUAUCAGCACUCAAAUUUAACUAUUUGGUUUGUGUCACACUUUUUUGUGUGGUGAAUUUACCCUUCAACUUGGUUGAAUAAAAGGUUUGACUAUUGCCUAUAUGAUAUAGAUGAAAUCUCGUAUUAGCGUUUUCUUUUGUUAAGUAAACGCAUUUGACAAAUUAUGGUUAUUGAACAAGGAUUUACUGAUGCCUUUAAAUGAAAGCAUCUUUCAGGACAAUACCAGAGCAGGCAGUUUUCAAGAGUACAGAUAGGACCACUUUUGGAUCAGAGGAUUUGGUGCUCUCACAGUCAAUUACCAAAAAUUGUGAAGUAGAAAUGCAAACUGUAGAUGAUAAAAUGAACGACAAUGAUGAUAUGUCAAGUAUUACAAAGGAAUGGGAGCAACUUCUUGUAGUUGAUAAUGUUAAAGACUGUCGAUUGUCUCCCUCAUUUUCCAAAUACGUGACAGAGAAGGAGGAGAUCUUGACAUCACAGAAAAAACAUAUUGGUGAGCAGACAUCAAGGAUUCUUGAGAGAUUAGAACCACCAAAGCAGCCCAAGCUUGUUCGAACAACACCCAUUAUUGGAAGUGGAGUACAGAAGAAACCAUUGCUUCCUAUCAAUUCACAAAACAACGAGCAGAAGAAGCCAUUGAAGCCUAGUUUUCAUAGAUUAAAAAGAAAAUAGUUUUGUUAAUAUUACAAUUUCAGGAAAUUAAGGUACCAUAUUUUCGUAUGGUUGGUUAAAUAUUUGUUGUUGUUUUGGCAAAUAUUUAAACGAUGAUAUAUAUUGUUUUUUCUCUUAUUCUGAUAAUUAGAAUUCAAGCUUUGGAUAUUCUCAUCUCUCACCAUCACACUGUCACACUAGUUAUAAUCAAUUUCACUUAUCUUAUUAUAUUUAACUUCAAUUUCUUGUUUCUCUAAUAUAUGUUUUAAUAGUUAAUGUAUUGCGCCGAUUCUUUUAAAAUUAGCAACAAUUUUUUUUUGAUAUCAGGAUUCAAAAUAUGCAUUUAACUUGAUUUUUUUUAAUAAUAGAGGGUACCUUUCUACAAGUAGAAAGAUUUACCUUUGGAUAAUACACCAUAAUUAUAUAAUAUAUCACUGGUUAUAUUGUGAUAAAAAUUAUGUACACAAGACUAAAACCAUGGACUCUCAACAAUUUUAAUAGUUAUUGUGAUCAAUUGUGUUAAUCUCCUUGUGUAUUUAACUUAGAUAUACCACCUAUUCAAGGAUGACAAACCGUAUUAAUUCUGGAUACUCAUACCAUCAAACUUGUAAUUGUUUGAAAAUGGACGUUUUCUGUUGAUCUAGUGUUUAUUGUUGUAAAAUGUAAAUAUGUGUGUUGAGGUGAAAUUUAGGAUUCAAUGCUCUCUAUUUUAGUAAAUUUGUAUUAGACAUUUAGACGUCCUCCAUCUUCUUUACACAAUUACAACUAAGGACUAGAGGAAGGUAGUAGCUACAUACACCAGACCCUAAGGCCUAAAUGCCAUAGGACCUCCGACAAAAAAGAUUUAAUUAAAAGAAAUUGUCAAAUGUACACACCUAAGAUUGGUAUGGAGUUAAAAAUAAUCACUUAUAAUUUUUUUAACCAUUUUAUGCUUACAAUUAAUUCAAAUCUUCGAAGAUGCCAUUGUCAUUAAAUCUUCGAAGAUGCCAUUGUCGGCAGAUUUUUUGGCCAAAAAAAAACCCAUCGUCCUCCUCCCUCCCUCAGUGCUACCAUCCGACGGGCAAGGAGAGAGUCCGACACCUUCAUGGCCGGGUCCUCCUCCUUCAUCGCCGGCUCCUCCUCCUUCAUCAAUGGUUACUUGAGGAGAGAUGAUGGAAAAAAAUCAAUAAAAUAAGACCAGACCAGAAGCAAGAAUAGGUUCUGGAAUCAAUCUGAAAUCAAUCGCGGAGUCAAGUUCAUGAAAGAAUCGUAUAUGGAAAUCUGAGUCGCGUUCUUGGAAGAAUCCCGUAUGGAAAUUUGAGUCGCGUUCUGGAAUUAAUCUCGUUCUUCAAAAUCGCAGAGACAGGAGACAUAAUCAAUCAGAAAUGUUUGCGCCGAGAAAAAAAUCGCAAAGCAAACUGGUCUCGUAAAAUCGCGAAAGAGAGAAAUAAAUCGCGGACAGAGUGCGGAUGAAUCGUAGAAUCUCCAAGAACUCGCUUGCUGCAGAAAUCGCGUGCUGCAGAAAUCGCGUAAUCGCUUGCUGCAGAAAUCGCGAUGGAUCUGGAAGAAAUCCGUGAAGUGUGUGCAGGAAUUGCGUGCGUGUUGCAGACUUGCCGAAGAAACUGGUGCAUGCGUGCUGGAAUCAUCAAGAAAUUUCACAGAAGAAGGUGAUUGCGUGCGUGACACCGUAACGGGUUGUCGGUUUAGGGUUAUACCAACAGGUAUAAGAAUUAACUAAUUAUUAGAGAACCCAAUCAGUUAGACAGUUAAUUAUAACAGAAUAAUCUAGAUCACAAACAGAUCAUAAACAACAUCUAUAAAUAUGUAACAAUUAGUCAAUACUUCAUAUACAAUUUGGUGAAUCAAUUUUAUAUGGUAUCAGAAGUUCCGGGUUUAGAAUUAUGCCAUUUUCCGCUUCAGAUUCAGACCAUCAUCCAGCCAACAUUGACGCAAACGCUCCAUCAAAAAGGAUAGUGAUAAAGCCGAUGAAAUGCGUCCAGCUUGAUAAGAGUAAUUACUAAUCAUGGGAAGCGCAAUUUUCUGCCAUGCUCCGGGGGUUUCAACUAUUUGAUUACGUCCUAGGAAGAGUCGAUCUAUCGUCGCCAUCAUCAAUCCAGCAAGAUCAGUUGAUCUUGAGCUGGAUAUUGACUGGGAUCUCAACAACCAUUCUUCCUCAAGUGGCAUCUCGGAAAACGUCGACAGAAGUUUGGGAUUGUCUGCCCAAACUUUACGCCUCUGGAACACAGGCACGCCAGCUCCACAUCCGCCUUUAACUCCGUUUAAUCCAUAUCUGACAUUUUCGGGAGUGUGCAAGUUACUGAUGGAUCAUAACCUUCGCCUGGAGAAAUCAAGAUCGAAUUAAUGUAGAUGCUGUCAACGCCGCUACCAAAACAACUCAUUCCGGCUUUAACCAAAAGUCGUCCAAAACAGAACUUCGAUGUCAGAUAUGCACAAAAAGGGGGCAUAGCGCUGCUGAUUGCUAUAACCGAUUGAAUAUGGAUCGGUUUCCAGCCUCUCACGGGAGGGUACUGAUUUCGCUCGGCUCAAAUGGAAGCAUACGAAAUCAGGUGUUGGCAAAUCUGAUGACUUCAUCGACCGGUACAACAACAAUGUGGUACUCUGAUUCAGGGGCCACAUCGCACAUUACAGCCGCAUCCGAGAAUAUUCAAUAUCCUAGAGCGUAUAACGGUAAAAUUUUCACAGCAGAUGGGAGCCCAUUAUCGAUUUCUUACUCUGGCCAAAGCAGGGCUAUUCCCGAUUCUAAUAACUUUGUUCUUCAUGAUUUACUACUAGUCCCUACGGCCAGGGGCGUAUCCAGGGGGGGCAAGGGAGGGCAAUUGCCCCCCCUAAAAUUUGGAAAAUAUCCGAGGACCUAUAUGUAAUUAAAUUUUUUAUAGGGGGUUAAGUGUAAUUUUCACAAUAUAUUAAUAUUUUUUAAGGGUUAAUAUAUAAAUUUCACAAUAUUUAUAUAUUAUAUAAAUUUUACAAUAUAUGUAAUUUUAAGUUUAAUUACAUAUAAAUCCCUAAAAACUUAAAUAUCCCUAAAUUUCUCCCCCAAAUCUUCUUAAUCCCUAAACCUCUCCCCAAAUUUUCUAAAUCCUUAAACCUCUCCCCCAAAUUUCUAAAUCCCUAAACCUCUCCCCCAAACCCAAAACCCACGAUAUUUCCCCAAUAUCCUCCAAAUUUCCCCAAUAUCCCCAAUAUCCCCAAAACCCACGAUUUCUCCAAAAAUCUCCCCAAUAUUUUUUCGCCAAUAUUAUUUCCCCAAUCUCAUUUUCCCCCCAUCCUCCAAUCUCGUUUCCCCCAUCUAAUUUCCUUCAAUCUUGUUUCCCCCAUCUAAUUUCCUUCAAUCUUGUUUCCCCCAUCUAAUUUCCUUCAAUCUUGUUUCCCCCAAUCUCCUUCCCCAAAACUCACGACUUCCCCCAAUCUCUCCUCCUCCCAUCCACCUCACGAUCAUCUCAGGGUCAACCGGUCAAGCUCUCACGUUCUGACCACCGUCCAUCGAGAUUCAGUUAUUGUACCACAGCCCACAGGACACCACCACCAUCGGAUUUCACUGCCUUCAGUUCGUCUCCACUCUCUAGAGUCCAGUCUCCGCUACUCUCUAGCCUUUAGGCUCUAGGUAUGUCCGUCUAUCUUGAAUUCUUGAUCCGUUUGUGUUUAACCUAGCUUGAUCCGGAAAAAAAUGUACCAUUUUAAAACAGGAUAAUGAACCAUUUGCAAAAAAUUGAAUUGAACUAUCAUCAACCUGAAAAAAUAUGAAUUUUCAUCAUUCCAUGUGAUUUUUUAAAACAGGGACCUAAAUUGAUUAAAUAUCCAUGUGAAUUUUAUUUAUUUCUUUAAUUAAUUAAAGAGGAACAUUUUAUUUAUUUCUUUAAUGUGAUUCCCACAUUAAAACUCGUCUCAGAAAUCGCCUUGGUGAUAGUUUGAUGAAUGAUUGUUUAGUAACAUAUAUCGAGAAAGAUAUUUUUAAAACUAUAGACAACGAAGUUAUUUUAAAAAUAUUUAAUGAUAUGUGUCUUCGUCGUAGGACAUUGAAGUAAUGUAAAAUGUAUUUGAAAUUUUUAUUGUUAAUUAAAUGAAUGUAUUUAUUUUUAAUUUGAAUAUUAAUUAAUGUAUUGAAUAUUAAUUAUAUAAUGAAUGUAUUGAUUUUUUAUAGGUUUUUAUAAUCAAUUAUAUGAAUAGGUCAUGCCAAAAUUUGUAUAGGUUUUUUAAUUAGUACAAAAAAAUGUCGGGGAAUCCUGGAUACGCCACUGCCUAUGGCUACUAGGAAUUUAUUGUCGGUGAACAAAUUUUGUAUUGAUAACAAUGUCUCUAUUGAAUUUGAUUCACAGAAGGUGCGAGUGAAAGGCUCGGCUACUGAGACAGUGUUGCUGAAAGGAACGGCAAACAGGGGAUUGUAUGAAUUGCCAAUGGUCAUCAAACCGACCGCAAAUUCUGUGAAUUUGUGCGAGAAUAACCUACCGGCUCAUUAUCUAUGGCAUUGUCGCCUGGGCCAUUUAAAUUCUGUGUAUAUGAGUGUGUUGGAAAAACGAGGUUUAAUAAAAUUCGGUGUUAAAACAUUUAAACUGUGUAACUCAUGUCAGCUUGGUAAAUCACAUUCUCUUCCUCAUCCUUCUCGCGCAAUUGUAUACAAGCCACUAGAACUUAUCUUUUCAGAUAUUUGGGGACCGGCUCCCAUAAUCUCAGUAGAGGGGUAUUCAUAUUAUAUCAGUUUUGUAGACGCUGGUACAUGUUUUAAUUGGGUAUACCCUGUUGCAUGAAAAUCCGAUCUAUAUCAUGUAUUUGAAAAUUUUCGAACAUGGGCAGAAAGAAAUUGUGAAAGCAAAAUUUUAGCCUUACAAACAGAUAAUGCAAUGGAAUACCGGAAAUUAGGGAAAAGAUUGGAAGAAUUGGGUAUAUCUCACCGUAUGUCUGCCCCAUACUCACACCAACAAAUGGGUCGAGUAGAGAGGAGACAUAGGCACAUAGUCGAUACAAUAGUUACAAUGCUACGCCAUGCAAAUUUACCUAAUCAAUUCUGGGACUACGAGGUGUUAACGUCUUGUUAUCUGUACAACAGAAAUCCUACACCACUAUUAGCCAGGAAAUCUCCAAUGGAGGCACUAUUUAACAAAACACCGGAAUAUUCAAAAUUUCGUGUAUUCGGAAGCAGGUGUUACCCAUGUCUUCGACCUUAUCGGAAGAACAAGCUAGAGGAAAAAUCUGCUGAAUGCAUAUUUGUAGGAUAUUCUAUGAAUCAGAACUGCUACUUAUGUUUCGAACCAAUCAGUCGGAGAGUUUAUGCUUCUCGCGAUGUCAAGUUUGAUGAAGAACAAUUUUCUUUAAAUAAAGAAGUGUUUGGGGACAAAAAUGACAUUUGUACAACAAAUGAUAUCUGACCCAAACAAACAAAAUUGGAGAAGUUACCAAUUACAAGUCCGAUUAAUCCCAUUCCGGUUUUGGCAACUACGGUACCCGAUUUACCAACAAAUAGUAGCCCUCCAACCGAGUCAAGUCAUCCGAGUGAAACAAGAAGUUCAACUCCCGUGUCUGACCGGCCAAUCGAAACAUCAUUGGAUGAGACAGAGUCGUCGAACCAGAAUCCGUCGAUAGACGAAGCCAACACGAGAGAAUCCGAUGAUCUAGCAAGUACUGAAUCUGUGAAUGAUCUAUCUGAAGGCAGCGAGAAUCCAACACGGACGACGAUGGUCACCAGAAGCUCUGUUGGGAUUUUUAAACCCAAUCCAAAGUUCGUCUUGGCUACAACAGCGUCGGAGAUCUCGAUUCCAAAAUCAGCAAAAUCAUUCCUGCUCAUUCCUCAAUGGAAGGACGCUAUGAUCAGAGAAUUCAACGCGCUCUGAGACAACGGUACAUGGACGCUAGUCCCAUGCCUACCGGAAGAUAACAUAAUCAACACCAAAUGGGUGUUCAAAGUUAAAUCAAAAGCAGACGGCACAAUAGAACGUUUCAAGGCGCAUCUCAUUGCAAAUGGGUUACGACAAAUCCACGACACAGAUUACUUUGACACAUUUAGCCUGAUCGUCCGACCAUUAUCGAUUCGUAUGGUUCUAUUGUUAGCAGUAUCCAGAGGAUGGGAAUUUCAUCAGGUCGACGUGUCGAACGCUUUCUUACACGGCAGUCUCAAGGAGAGAAUUGUUGUUUCACAACCAUAUAGAUUUACAGAUAAUAAGAAUCAUGACCAAGUUUGUCUUCUCCGUAAAUCUCUGUAUGGACUUAAACAAUCACCAAGGUGCUGGUUUCAGAAGUUGAGUGGAUUUCUGGGAACAUUAGCAUUCAAAGAAUCGGCGGUCGAUCCAUCGUUAUUCAUUUACCAAACAAAUUCAGUAACAAUAUUCUUGUUCGUCUAUGUAAACGACAUAGUGAUUGUGGGAUCGGAUGAAGAGGAAGUCAAGAAAGUGAUAGAAAAAUUGGGGAACGAAUUUCCCACACGUGACUUAGGCACUCUGGAGUACUUUCUAGGUGUCCAAGUCAAGCGCGUCAAAGAUGGUUUACAUUUGUCACAGACACAGUACCUUCUUAAUCUACUCUGGAGUUGUGAUAUGGGAGAACUAAAAGCGGUUUCUACUUCAAUGUUAGCAGAUGUCUACCUACGCUCAGACGAUCCGGUUAUUGACAAUCCAAGUGAAUUCCGAAGAAUCAUAGGCUCGCUACAAUACAUCACAUUAACAAGACCGGAUGUCCAAGUUGCAGUUAACCGGCUCGCCCAAUUCAUGGCAGUUAACCGGCUCGCCCAGGAUGGUACAUUGGAUAGUCAUAAAACGCAUACCAUGUUACCUAUUCGGAACCCAAACACACGGAAUUGCACUAAGACGGGUCGAUAGUUUUGGGAUCACGGCAUAUUGUGACGCAGACUGAGGAGGUGAUACGGUGGACCGCAAAAGCUGCACAAGUUUUCUAGUUUAUGUAGGAGGAACGUUAGUAUCUUGGGUGUCAAAGAAACAGAACACACUGGCUCGAUCGAGCACAGAAGCAGAAUACCGGGCGAUAGCCACUACGACUCAAGAAGUGGAGGCAGUUCGACUAGCACUAGUUGAAUUAGGGGUGAAGGUACCACGAUCAAUGGUGAUACUAUCGGAUAACAUAAGAGCAUUAAUGUUUAUCGCGAAAAACCCAAUCGGGCAUAUAAAACUUAAACAUGUGGCCCUCGAUCUAUACUUCGUUCGCGAAAAAGUACAAAACAAGGAGAUCAUAGUAAAGUGUAGGAAUAAGAUUCUCAAUGAUAUAUUUAGUUGUUAAUUAAUUUAAAAUAUAAUAAACCUUAAUUAACAAGAUAUAGAUAUAUAUGAGUUAAAUCUAUAUGAAUAAAUCUAUUAAACUCAUAUAGAUAAAAUUGACUUGAUAUAUGAUUAAACUAAAGCGAGAUUAGUAUUAAUUAUUUUCAUCAAACAAAUCUCUACUAUUGAUCAAGUUAAUUAUUGAAGCUUGUAUUUAAUUAUGCACACCUAUUUGCUUGCAUUAACUCUUGUUUUAAGUUGAUCAAUGUCUUAAAAGUUAAUCAACAAGGUGUAAAAGCUACAACUAUUUAUUCAAACUUCAAAUGGACCCAAAGUGUAGAAAACGUGUAGAAGUGCAAUCAUGAUAAAUUUCAAGAGCAUAUCCAAUAUAUUAACUAUAAGAUCUUAGAAUCAAUGCUACACAAAAUUAAUCUAGAAGAAGAAUUCAAAUUGGAGCAAGGCAAAACGUGUAAAGGUUCAAUCUCCCAAAAUAAAACACAAUCAUAAUCUUGAAUUAAAUGCUACACAAUCUCCCAAGAUCAAAUUCAAGUUCAAGUGAAGCUUCAUGUCUCUCCAACGUCUAUAUUCAAGCUUUUCUUCCUAGGAGUUUUGAAGAUGAAAAUAUUACCUCCAUGCCAUCAACGACUGCUAUAUAAAGAGGUGCACACCUAAGAGCCAAAGCUAUCACUUGCCAUCUUUGCUAAAGCUCUAUUAUUUCUCUUUUGCUCUUUCUCAAGCUCUAGCUCUCGUUCAAGCUUUGUGUGAGAGUUGCUUUCAAGGUUGUGUGCUCUAGUUCUUCAACUUUUUCUUCUUCCCUUCUUGUGUAUGUUGAGAGUGUGUUAGAAAAAAAGCUCUACAUCUUGUAAGUGGUCCAAGUAUUGUGAGAGGUUUCUCAAUACCAACACUUGUAAGAUUCUACGAGUUCAACCAUAAAACUCGGUGUGGUUCUAUAGAGUUUACAGGAAAAUUCUUAGGUUGAAUCUGCCUUAAAGGUUCAAGGAUUUUUAAGAGUUUCUUAAUACUCUUAGGUGGUUCACAAGCGUUUAGCCUUAAAGCUUGGCAAAGGUUUUUAAGAGUUCCUGAAUACUCUUAGAGAGUUCACAAGCGUUUAGCCUUAAAGUUUGGAAGAUGUUUUUAAGAGUUCCUGAAUACUCUUAGGUGGUUCACAAGCGUUUAGCCUUAAAGCUUGGCAGAGGUUUCACCAUUACCUUCAGACUAGUGAUCUCCGUGUUUCAUCAGAACUGGAUUAGCCCUUGCUUUUCGUUUUUCUAUGUUUAACGUCUUAACAAGAUAAAAACAACUAAAAGAGAUCCCUCAUCCAGUUACCUGGUUAUAGAUUGAGGUUGACUAUUUUCGUGCAGAACCCUUAUCCAGUUAUCUGGUCAUUGACUGAGGUUAUUUUCAGUACAAAUAUAUCCAGUCAUCUGGUCACUUAUACUUAUAUAUUUUAACUUAUAUAUAUUAUUUAUCUGCUUAUAAGAGAACUUGGUAUUCGUAUACCACAGUUAACUUAAAAGGCAUUUUUAUCAAGUUAGAAUAUACAUCUGUUUAUUUACUUUUAACGUGUGUCUAUAUAAUUUAGUAUUCAUAUAUUACAGUUAUAUAGAAAUCACAAUCUUAUAAGUGGACUCAAUAUCUGUAUACUACAGUAAACUUACAAAGAACAGAUAGUCUUUAUAUAUAUAUUUGUCUUUGACUUGUAUUCUCAGGUAUUCCGCAUAUCGUCUGAGAAAUCACGAGAAGAGGCUAUUACCCCCCCUAAGCCUCUGAUCCAGAUCCAACAUAAAGCACAUCCUAGGGAAAGAACAAAGGGUGGACAUAUUAACCAAACCACUGCCACCGAGAAGCUUUUCCAUAUUACAAGAAAAAUUAGUCGACAAAGCUCCGGAGGGACUCCAGGGAGGGGCUGUAUUAGAGAACCCAAUCAGUUAGACAGUUAAUUAUAACAGAAUAAUCUAGAUCACAAUGAUCAUAAACAACAUCUAUAAAUAUGUAACAAUUACUCAAUAUUUCAUAUACAAUUUGGUGAAUCAAUCUUAUACUAAUGAGAGGCAAAUUAGGAAAAAUUAAUUCCUAACAACUCCUAACCACCUAAGACCUAGGCUUGGUGAUUACUUUUGAUAACCAAGCCAUCUUAGGUAGUUAGAAAUGAAACCCACCCUUUAAUUAAAGCUUUGAAGAUAAAAAAAAUCUUCAUUUAUAUGUUGUAGCAACCCUAUGACAGGGUAAAAAAUUACGAUGGGGAACCUAGGUACAACAGAACUUCGCACCAGUGCGCGCACAUGCUUGUUUGCUACAUCUGCUCCCGUCGACUCUACCAAAUGACGUCGUCAUUUUACCCUCUUUGAGGUUGGAUCUUCAUGACACUACUGUUCACCACAGUUUCCCACCUAUUCCCGCUCCCUGACCUACCGGUGUACGAAAGUGACAAUACAAUUAGCAACAUUAACUGAGACUUCUUGGACGAGCACAGACUGAAUUAAAUAGGAUCUGCAGGCACUGGUUUUUCUCUCUCACUGUUUUACUGGUAUCUGGAUAACAAUUGUGUUCUAAUGGUUUUUUUUGUUGGGUUUUUGUCUUGGUUUACACAACAUCGCCUGGUUGUGUUUGAAAAACGAUCUACAAUGUUUUUUUCCUGGGUGAACACACAAGUUCCUUGUACUGUUUGUUUGUUGACUGUUGUAUAUUUUGUUUUUUAAAAUAUAGCUAUUGGGAGAUAUUUUUCAACAAUAUUUCAUCGGUUAUGCAAGUGACAUAUCACACACAAAAUGUAUGACAAGAUCAGAUCUGUUAAUAAAAACAAACAACAAAUGGACAGGUUCAACCAUUUGUUGAAUAUGUCAGAUACAAUACAGAAAUUCGAAGAAAAAUGGGAUUGUUGGAUGAAAGACAAUAACAUACAAGAUAAUGCGUGGUUGGAAUCUAUGUUCCAGUUAUGUCAUAAAUGGUGUCCAGUCUUUACAAGAGAUUUUUUGGGUGGAAUGCAGAGCAAACAGAGAAGCGAAGAUAUGAAUGCAUUGGUAAAGACAGGUGAAAAAACAUUCAACUUUAUAUGAAUUUGUUGGAACAUUCAACUUUAUAUGAAAUUAUCAGCAGAGAAAUUUUAAAGGAUGUGAAUAUUGUAUAUGAUUCUACAUCUUAUAAGAAGCACAAUCUUUCACAGAUUGAAAUACAAGUUAUACGCUCAUGAGAGUCCAACCUCUUGAGGCUUCAAUCCUUGGUCAGUUAGUCAGGGUCAUAGCUGUAUAAGAGAUAUACAAUGUUUUUACAUUUAUUGUAUUUGCAUUUCCCUAUAUUAUUCUGUAAUUUUGGGUUAUUCCCAACUUUUUUUUUC